rnacentral:lncRNA from 1 species
AAAGCGAAAUAAACCACAUUGAUGAUACCAUUACUAUAAUCUAACACGUUAACAAUGCUCAUUUACAAAUUCUCGUCAGAAAACACUAAUGAUCUUUUGCAUUUCUAAUAGCAAAAAUAAGAUCUUCAGUUGGACUGUACACUGUUGUGAUAGAAAUUACAGCAUGGAUUUAGCAAAAUAUGACAGACAGCACUUCGCAGAAUGCAUUUCACCAAUGAGGACAAAUAAAAAAAGAAACAAAACUUCAGCCACCAUCACAAUUUCAUUUUUCUUGAACAUGUUCUUGAUGUUUCUUUUUCCUUGGCUCUCCCUUCCCAUGUUCUCUCUGCGUAAAUGUGCCCUUUUCUUUUUGUAUGUGUUUGGGAAGGUGGGAGAAAGUUUAUUGUGUACAAGGGAUGCACCACUUGCUUUUAUCACUGCGCUUAUCUGGUCCGGAACUCAUUCCUGAAUCUAGUUAGAUUGUUGGAGAACUUAUCCCUGUUCUUCUGAUCCAAGCUUCGAGUUAUAUCAGCCAUAAGUUUGUCAAAGCACACUGAAAGACGCUGUUGCUGGUCUGUUGGCUGCAGAUGAAAAUGGAUAAAGAGGAGCUGUCAGCACAAGGAAGUAGAUCAUUAGUCCACGAAGAUGUGCAUUGAUACAACCAAUCCAUCUUUUUCGCCUUAUGGUAAAAAAAAUAAAAAUAAAAAGUUAGAUUACGAACAAUGAUACCAAAUAGACCAACAUUAUGGCAAUAGACAAAAUAAAUUAUCCCUAACUAACAAGAUUCUCAUACCUGUGAAGACAAAAUCUGAGCUCUUAAGUUUGAGAACAUCUGCAAGAUGCGAAUGAAUCAUAAUCAUAUCAGGUAUAGUAAUACACAACCAUUCCUCUCCACUAUAAAGCAUAUUCUAAUAUCUAAAUUAUUCUGUUUGUUACAAUGUAAUGCAUUCAUUAAAUGAAUUCUUCCUAUAAACCUGUGAUGCAGGUGGAUUAACAAAGAAUAUGUCAUAAUGGAACUCCAUGGAUUAAACCAUGACAACCUAUUAGAAAGAAGCAAUGGACUAGGCAAAGGGAGAACAUCAAGCACAGUGGAUACAACAACUAUUUCUGACAUCUAAUUAGUAGAAGGGUUUAAAAAAAAUCAAACACAUCUCAACUGUAAACGCAAGAUUAAGUCUGCUGAUUCAAUCAACAUCCGUGUGAUAUAGUUAUGAUUUGCUUUUGUUACUACCAUAAUUUAAUGAAAUUCAAAAUUGUGGAACUGGUGAUUUAACUGCAAACAGAACCCAAUACUGUGCCUUGUGUGAAAACACCGGCACAGACAUAUGUAUGUGUGUAUCAUAGUCACAUUUGCAUCUUGCAGUUUUCGAAAUAAUAAGUAGACGGAAUCUAAAUGCUACAAAAAUUAGUGUCACCUCUUCGCUGAUGAGUAUCAUACUCAGCAUCGGUCUACUUAGGCUCCACUGGUUGCCACAAUCUUCAAACAGAACAAUCUCAAAGAGAGUCUUCAUUAUCUAUCAGGGAAGAUGAUCACGUUGACAUAACAAAUGAAUCAGUUCCAUAUCACAAGAACUUUUUUCUUUUGAUAAGGUAAAGUAAAUUUCGUUAAAAUCAAUACCAAGAAGGUACUAUGAAGGGUAGAAGAAGAAGGGAAUUUACAAAUUUUGAUUAUGUCCCCAUGCUAUCUAAAAAAUGAAAAAACAAAUGUGACAUGCUAUCAAACAUAUGACCCCUUACACCAAAAGUAUAUAUUUGUAAAUUAAACAUAUGCUUUACAAUAGAAAUGUGAUUUGUCUUUCUCUCAAGCAACUCUUGUUUCUCUCAAAGCCAAACAGUCCACUGCAUAAUGGAGCAGUCUUCCACAAUGUCUUCGAUCUUUUGCUUAUCUUCUGACCCAGCCAGCACAGUAAUAGGCUCUUUAUAUCCCCUGGCAUGACCCAGCUAACUCCAAAAAGAUUUAAUACAAUGAGCAGAUUAGUCAUACUUGAUUGAAUGCAGGAAUAACUGUCUGCUGCCCUCCUAAGAACUUUCGCAGAAGAAGCAUCUACUGCAUAAGGGCAAUCCUAUUCUUUGAAGAUUAUCCUGAGUCAAACAAGUAUUCCUAGUUGAAACUCAAGUAAAACAACCACUCUGGGAGGUACUCUUGAUUUCCAAAUAAGUUUCCAAGGCCAAUCAGCAUUCCAGCAACCAUUUUAUUUUUAAAAUAGAUUUCAGUAGCUCUUAACAGCAAAGUCUCCCCUUUUACUGGACAAGUCAGAUCAGUGACUCAUUUUUCUCAUCAUUUAAGGAUACAGACUGUACAACCUCUAGUAGAAGACCAAACUCAUCAAUCUCCAAAUCAUUGAGAUUUCUUCUAAGUUGCAGAUGCUAUCUAGCUUCAGAGAAACAGUCAGCCACCAAACAACUUUUAUUUACAGCCAAACUAACAUAGAGUAAGAUUUUUGCGCGCACUCUAAUGUCCAUCUAACAUGUUUACGGCUUCCCACACUCAAUCUAGUAUAUAGUUGGAAGUCGCUCCAAUAACUACAGAUAUGCUUCCAGAUAGUUAUUUGUUAUGCAUAGCUGUAGCUUAGGAGUCCAAUGAUCUACAAUCCCAUAUUUGGUGAAAAAUAACAUCUUUCUAUAAUCCUGCUUUACCAUCAUUAAAUCUCCAGAGCCAUUUGAUAAGUACACUCCCAAACUUUUAUUUUGAAACUCGAGAAUCUUCACUUCAGUGCCAUCACUUUCUUUAUGUAUCAUCACCUGUUGCCAUUGAUAGAUGCUUCAUUCUCUGUGUAGCACUACCUUGCCAGAGGAAAUUAUUUCUCAGCUUAUUUAAUCUUUUCUCCACAGUAGAACAGAAUAGUAUGAGGCCUCAAAGAUGUAGGCAUGGUAUCCAACACAACAUUCACCCAAGUGAGUCUCCCACCAAACCUUUAUUUGAAGCUUGAGUUCUUCACUCCCGUGCACCACCUUCUCUAUUUAUCAUCACAAGUUGCACAUGACUAGACACAUCUUCCUUGUGUAGCAUUAUCUUGUCAGGGGAAAUUAUCCCUCAGCUGAUCUAAUAUUUCUCCACAGUAGAAGGGAUGGGGAUAAGGGGCAUCAAAUAGGUAGGUACGUUAUCCAACAUACCAUUCACCAAAGUUAGUCUCCCACCAAAAGGAUAAAUAUAGUUUUUUCCAUGCAGAGAAUUUUUUCUCAUAUCUGCCAAGAACUCCCAGCCAAUUCCCUUUGGCCUUCAAUUUAGCAGCAAGAGGAAGAUCCAAAUAAGCAGUAGCAGGGUAAGCUUCUAUUUUCAUCCCAGUAUAUCAGAGAGCUCCAGAAGAAUACUUUCUGCAUUUAGAGCGAAAAUGCUACUCUUGGCCAGAUUAAUUUGUCAUGGUGAUGGAAGCACCAAGUCUUUCGCUAAAGAGGGCUAAAAGUCUUGGAUGGCUUGAGGGUUUCCAGAUUGAUGGUAAAAGUGAGGAAAAGAGGUGAAAGUGGAUCACCUUGUCUUAAGCCUCUCAGCGGCUUAAAGAAACCUUCAGGAUCCCCCAUUAAUAAGAAUAGCAAACCUGACAGUAGAUAUACAUGUAUGUAUCCACUGGAUAAUGACCAUUUCACAUGGUCAUAUGCGUUUCCUAAGUCCAAUUUACAGGUUACCCCAUGCCAGUCUAUCUGCAAAUAAUGGUCCGAGCAUUCAUUAGCAACAUAGCAGCAUCAAUGUUUUGCCAAUCUUUUAUAAAGGCAAUCUGAUUCACAAAGAUUUGUUGAUUACCAUCUUCGAGUAGUCAGUAAGGUCCUUAGUAAACACUUCCAAGCAUGCUGAUGGGCCUAUAAUCUUUUAUUUCCAUGGAAAUUUCUUUUGGUGCAAGCGCUAUGAAUGUGGCAUUAAAACUCCUUCAAAAGUGUCUUCUUUGUGAAAAAAAAUCAAAUUUUUUUAUUAUAUCAUUUUCAUAGUAGGCCAACAUUUCCGAAAGGAUAUACUGAAUCCUUCAGGUCCAAAAGCUUUCUCCCCUACAAAGUGUCGAACACUGAUUCCACUUCCUCAGCAAGAAACUGUCUUUGCAGGCAAUCUCUCUCAUCAUCAGGAAGAACAGCCAACAUGUUAUCUUCCUAUAAACUUCUCCAUUUUUCAUUCUCUAUUAAUAGCUUCUCAUAGGAGCCCAAAAUUUGAUUCUUAAUCAACUUCUUGUCUCCUACCGGCUUGCCAUGAAUGUUAUUAAAAGUCAUUGCUUCGUCACUUAAAGUGAUGAAGUGAUAGGUUAUCGCUUCACAGGCAGGAGCAAAUUUAUAGGUGAGAUUAUGGGGCGCUAGAACCUAGGUCUCUCCGUAAAAUCAGAUAUUUUAUGUGCAUAUUUUCUAAAAUUGGUAUAAUAUUAACUGUUGGACCCAUGCUCCAAGAAGGCUGAAUGGUACACUUGGUUGAAGGUUGAGUUAUUUACCAAGAGGAAUAGGGAUCAAUUCUCACUUAAUACAUUUUUUCUCCUUUUUUUAGUAGUGCACCCAUAUACUAGGAAUCAUAAAUCCGCCUCUGUUCACAUGUGAAGCCAUGUGCUUCAAAGGAGUGUGCAGCCCAAAAAAUCACACAAAGUCAUCCCACAGAGAAUUAGUUGAUUCUUUGAAUCUCAAUUUUGAGGAGUUUGAUCAAUAUCUGCAUUAUUUAUUGUCCCAGGGCGGGUGGGGCAUGGUACAAAACUCAAUAGAUAAUGGGCCCCCCUCUACUCUUCUUCAUUUAAAUACUCAACUUUUGUCCAUGGCAAGGUUGCAAACUGCGACAUGCACCAAGACAUCAUGUGUUGUGCUCAUACCACUUGAUCAAAGUCUCGGGGUAGAAAAAUAUAUGCAUUACUGCAUAUUAGAUGCUAAAAUUAAUUAUUUCUUGUAACGACUUGGCCGGUUGUUUUGUGCAUUUGAGCCUCGUUCCUCUCGUAUGCUUGUUUGUUGUUUUUUGACUUGUGUGGAUGGUUGGUUUGGUUUCUGAAAGGUUUUGGAAUGAAUUGGAACACUAGUUCCAUGGUUGGAAGCUUCAGUUGUAACAGUUGACCAAGGAGUAAACGACCUCGGAUUCGUGUUUUGAUGGUUCGAUAGGUUUGUGGGAUGAUUUUGGACUUAGGCGUAUGUCCGGAUUUGGAUUUGGAGGUUCCUAGGUUAGUUUGGCUCUAAUUGGCAAAAGUUGAAAAUUUAAAGGUUUGAAAAGUUUGCAAGUUUGACCGGGAGUUGAUUUUGAGGUUAUCGAGUUCGGAUUGUCGUUCCGAGAAUUGGAAUAGGUCUAUUUUGUCAUUUGGAACUUGUGUGCAAAGUUUGGUGGCAUUUCGAGUUGAUUUGAUAGGAAUCAAAUGUUUGGUUGGAAGUUUAGAAGCUUAUGAACUUAAGAGAAGUUCAAUUGAUGGUUUGAUCGUCGAUUUGUAGAUGUAGUGAUCUUCCAUGUGUUUUGAGGCUUUGGAUAGGUCCGGGUAGUGUUUACAGACUUGUUGAUAUGAUUGGACGGUGUCUUUGGUGGCUCGGGUAAGUUUCGAACCACCCGAAGCUUGGUUGAAUUGCAAAUAUUCUAUUGGCGUAUGGUGUGCUUCGCGAACGCGGAGGCUUACUUAGGGCAACUGUGGUAUUUGUUCUCCACGUUCGCGAAUAGGGUGUCGUGUUCGCGAAGAGCUGGGGUCGUUGAUCUUCACGUUCGCGAGUAAAGGGCUUGCUUUCGCGUAGAGGAGAGGGCUAGCUGGGACUGGGGUUAGCCUUCACGUUCGCAAAGUCUGGGACGCGUUCGCGUAAGCUUAAGUUGCCCGUGUAUCGCAUUCGCGGGUGGUUGACCGCGUUCCCGAAGAGUCUUUUUGGCAGAGGCUAAGUUGUGCUUCGCGAACACGAGGCUUGGGCCGCGUUCGCAAAGGGUAUUGUGAGAAAGCACGGGAGAAAAUAUAUUAUUGAUUGAUAAUGACAAUGAUACAAUGAGCCCAAUAUAUACAAUACAUGUCCUACUCCUAAUACAUAUGGGAUUAGGGUUAUUUACUACUAUUUAUACAAUGAAACUNNNNNNNNNNNNNNNNNNNNNNNNNAGCAAUAUCUCCCGAGAGUAUCUUUUCUCUGACAAAGUGACAGUCAAUCUCGAUGUGUUUAGUUCUCUCAUGGAACACUGGAUUUCACGCAAUAUGAAGAGCGGCUUAAUUAUCACACACAAGUCACAUCUGACUAAUCUCACCAAAUUUCAACUCCUUGAGCAACUGUUUGAUCCAAAUUAGCUCACAUGUGGCCAUAGCCAUUGCUCGAUAUUCUGCUUCUGCACUAGACCGAGCCACCAAAUUCUGUUUCUUGCUCUUCCAAGAAACCAAAUUUCCUCCUACUAAGACACAAUAUCCAGACAUAGAACGUCUAUCAGAAGGUGAUCCUGCCCAAUCAGCAUCUGAGUAUUCAACGAUCUACUCAUGGCCUCGAUCUUCAAACAAUAAGCCUUUGCCUGGAGCUGAUUUUAUAUAUCGAAGAAUGCAGACAACUGCAUCCCAAUGGCUAUCACAGGGAGAAUCCAUAAACUGACUCACAACACACACAGAAAAGGAAAUGUCAGGUCUAGUCACUGUGAGGUAAUUUAAUUUACCAACCAACCGCCUAUAUCUUGCAGGAUCGCUAAGAGGCUCCCCCUGUCGUGACAGAAGUUUAGAAUUCGAAUCCAACGGAGUGUCAACAGGUCUACAACUUGUCAUUCUUGUCUCCUCAAGAAUAUCUAAGGCAUACUUUCGUUGUGAGAUCACAAUACCUGAGCUAGACUGAGCGACCUCAAUACCCAGAAAAUACUUUAAUCUGCCCAGAUCCUUAGUUUGAAAGUGCUGNNNNNNNNNNNNNNNNNNNNNNNNNNNNNNNNNNNNNNNNNNNNNNNNNNNNNNNNNNNNNNNNNNNNNNNNNNNNNNNNNNNNNNNNNNNNNNNNNNNNNNNNNNNNNNNNNNNNNNNNNNNNNNNNNNNNNNNNNNNNNNNNNNNNNNNNNNNNNNNNNNNNNNNNNNNNNNNNNNNNNNNNNNNNNNNNNNNNNNNNNNNNNNNNNNNNNNNNNNNNNNNNNNNNNNNNNNNNNNNNNNNNNNNNNNNNNNNNNNNNNNNNNNNNNNNNNNNNNNNNNNNNNNNNNNNNNNNNNNNNNNNNNNNNNNNNNNNNNNNNNNNNNNNNNNNNNNNNNNNNNNNNNNNNNNNNNNNNNNNNNNNNNNNNNNNNNNNNNNNNNNNNNNNNNNNNNNNNNNNNNNNNNNNNNNNNNNNNNNNNNNNNNNNNNNNNNNNNNNNNNNNNNNNNNNNNNNNNNNNNNNNNNNNNNNNNNNNNNNNNNNNNNNNNNNNNNNNNNNNNNNNNNNNNNNNNNNNNNNNNNNNNNNNNNNNNNNNNNNNNNNNNNNNNNNNNNNNNNNNNNNNNGACUGUUGGAAGAGAUUGAGAAUAUGAGAUACUAGUGAAAAGAGAUUUGUUACUAGAAAUAUGAUCAGGUGCACCUGAAUCAGUGACCCAAGACUCAGAAGGUGAAGAUUGGGAGACACCAGUCAUGCUACUAUUUGUUGGAACAACAGAGGUUAAUCCUGAAGAUGUCUGUUUACGUGCUUUGUACUGAAGGAACUCAAUAUAAUCCGGUAAAGAAACCAUUUGGAUUGGAUUUAUUGCAUUUAAUCCAACUGAUUGUGAGUUAAAGGCUUCAGGUACGAAUUCCAUUAUAAUAUCGUGCCGGAAAAAGCAGAAAAUUACUGGGGAUCAAUGUUCACGCCGGAAAAAUCACUGUAGCUCGCCGGAAAAUUCCAAAGUUGUCGGAAUCUGUCGGAAAUAGUACCAAUGGACUCGGAAUUUCAAGGAGAUGAAGCUGUCCUGAAGAAAUUUUUUCAAAAUCUGACCGGAAGGGGUCACACGCGCUGGCGCGUGUGACAGACGCGCAGCCGGAAACAGUUCUCCGACAGGCGCGUGACGGCGCGUGGCUAACUAUUUUCCGGUGAUUUUUUCUGGGGUUUGGUCGGAUCUCUCUUGGGAACCUUGUGCCGGUGUUGGAUUUUGCACAACAUUGAUAAUUAGUGACAUUGACGCAACUAGUCACUUAGGUCACCGGAAAAUUGCACGGUGACUGAGUUCUUUCUUCCCGGAUAUCGCUGGAAUGACGCACAACGAUCUCUUCUCACCGAUGCUCUGAUACCAUGUGAGAAAGCACGGGAGAAAAUAUAUUAUUGAUUGAUAAUGACAAUGAUACAAUGAGCCCUAUAUAUACAAUACAUGUCCUACUCCUAAUACAUAUGGGAUUAGGGUUAUUUACUACUAUUUAUACAAUAAAGCUAACAGGUAUCACUGGGCAGACUUAUAAGUGAUGUAAAUUCGGGACUUCGACCCAUUAUUUCAUAUUUUAAGCCCUAGACUUGGAGAUUGGUGAUAUUUGAAGAGGAUUUUCACACAAGGCAAGAGGGUAAGUGAUUUCUAUCUGAUUUUAACAUUAUAUCUUGUUUCUCCAUGGAUUAUUACACAUAUUAUGGGAUCGAACGAGAAAUGUUUAGGGGUUUUGGCUGAUUUUAAAGAGUGAAAAAUGGAGAUUUGAACCCCAUUCGAAGUCGAAUUUGGAUGAAACUUGUAAUUUGGACUCGUAUUCUAAUGGGUAGUCGGGAUUUAUGACUUUGCUCGGGUUCGAAAAGCGGGUCUGGGUUGACUUUUUGGCUGACUUCGUACUUUCUAUUAAAGAUCGAGUCUUUAUGCUCCGAUGUCGUUCCUUUAGCAUUAUUUGACAUAGUGGUCUGUUAUUGACUAAAUUCGUGCUGUUUGGAGGUCGAUUCGCGCGAGAAGGCAUUUUUGAGUAUUGAUUCAAGCACCUUGAGGUAAGUAACUUGUCUAAACUUGGUUUGAGGGUAAAAUCACUUGGUUUGAGGGUAAAAUCAUUGUUGGCUAUGAUAUUUGAGGUAUGUAGGGGUGACGCACAUGCUAGGUGACGAGCAUAUAUGCAUACAACCGGGUUAUUCAUGAUCCAGGUAGACCUUAGGCUAUUAUGUGUCUUGUUUUGCUAUCAUGCUCCGCUAUUUCCGUGUUUUCUCCACUUGUAUAACUACGUGAGUUAUUAUUCAUGUUAGAAAUCAUGUCUAUGCUAUGUGUUUAUCUGUUUGAGACGUGAUAGAGUUAUUCUUGCUAUAUUGAGUUGUUCGCCUUAAUUGUAGUCAUAUUCUCAGUCAUGAUGUUACAUCUGCGUAUUAUAUCUCUAUCUCUAUACAUUCUUUAUAUGUUAUCUCACAUAUUGUUGGUGCCUUUAUAUGUGUGACACGAGUUGAACUGAGUAUCGUGAUAUGUGAGCAUUUUAGACUUGAGCACUUGAUGAUUGAUCUUGGCCAUAGAGUUGAUCUGAUACUGAUAGUGAGGUGACGUGUGCACCAAGCCCACAUUGGGCUGAGUGGUAUUGAUUAUGAGAUCACACGUGCGUCAGGCCCUAUAUUGGGCUACGUGAUAUUGAUCGUUGACUUAGAUCCGAUCAGCGCUUGGGCUAGAACCAGCCCCUACGGAGUCAGGUAAUAACAUGUGGGUACAAACACACGGGUCAUAUAUAUAUAUGCCUUGUGCGGGACUUGUGUCAAGCAAUGGUAUAGUGCUGAAUGUGGUGGUGUGUGAUGAUUGAAGGGUAUUUGUGUCAGACACUACAUGUGCUGAAAUUGGGUAUACUUGAUUUAACUACGAUAUUGUUGAUUCUAGCAUACAUACUUGUCAUACAGGUAUAGAGUUGUGUUUCUUCCCUCAUGCUAAUUGGUACUUAAUGUCUAUUUGAUAUGUAGAACGAGGAAUCACAGUAAAAUUGAUAAAACCAUAUUUAGGUGAUUUUUGUGGAAGAAUUUAUGUCUUAACUUAUAUUCUUGAUAAGCAUGCUUAUUUCCCUUCUUAUUGUGAAAAGGUUGAACUUGAUAUUACUUGAGCUACUUUUCCUUUUUGCCGUUAUUAUACUUGUUGGCUAUUUGAAAUGAAUAUUGGACCUUACUAAGCUCGUUACUGCUUUCAGCUCGAGGUUAGGUUUGUUACUUAUUGAGUACAUGAGGUCAGCUAGCUAUAUUCAUAAUACACUCUAUACUUCAUGUGUAAAUCCAUGUGCUGCUGAGAGAGGUGAUUGCUAGAGAGUGGCUUCGGUACCAAUUUUGGAGAUUUCGAGGUAGCUGCUAUUUCCAUUGCCAGGCCUUGAAGUCCCUUUUUCUCUUAAUUCGUGUUAUAUUGUACCAUCUUUCAGACAGUAUUGUAUUUUGGGUUCAGACUCUGUAUUUGAAUUUUGUAGCGUUCAUGUACUCGAUGACACCAGAUCGUGGGAUGGUUUUCAGUUGCAUUGUUAUUAUUGAUUUCAGCUAUUUAUGUUAUUCGGCUGUUGAGAUUAUUUAAUAACGUUAUUUAAGUUUGUUUCUGCUAAUCGAUUGUUGGCUUGCCUAGCAAGCGGUGUUAGGCACCGUCACGACUCCGAUGGGAUUUUGGGUCAUGACAUUUCUAUUGAAACUUUACAUAGAUAGAUAUAUGUUUAUCUUCUCAAAUUUUUCAAUAAAUUGAGCGCUUCACUUCAAAGAAGCAUGAAGCUUUCACUUCUUGCUUUUCGCCAACACCAUGGACUUUGUUGCUUUCUUUAUGCUUUUUAGUUUUAUCACCUUGCUUGAUCCAUAAACAGCUUUAUUCUGCCUCCACUAUGUUUCUUCAGCUUUGGCAAUCUCUUCAGCUCUUUUGAAAGGCUAGACUGCAUGGAUUCCACCUCAUACUCAGCUCCUAUUACUGAAUUUGACUAAUCCUUCAUAGCAAGAUUUCCCAAAACAGCUUUCUAUAUUUCUUGCAGCAUACCGAAGACUUCCUUAGUUCCUUGUCCAUUUUUUGAUAUCCAGGUUCAACAACUUUAACUUUUUGGCUAGGACAACAUUCCCUGUACCUCAUAUGAUUUCCACCAUCUAUCCACUAAAUCAAUGAAUUCAUUAUCAGCCACAUAUUCUCGAAUUUAAAAUGACCUUUCUGUAUUCCAAUCCCCACAUUCCAAGAGAAUAGAUUAGUGAUUUGCACAAACUCUAGGAAGGCCCCUCGGUUUUAUAGUCUUAAAAGAAGUCAUCCCGUUUAGUAGAUAUAAGGAACCUAUCAAUCCUUGAUGCACAAGAAAUAUCAUUACCCCUUAAUCAGUUGAUUGUCCACAUUGGAAGGGAUAAAUCAUCAUAGGUAACUCAUCAACUACUUCUGUGAAAUCUCUUAUAGAUCUAGGAUUGAAAACUCCGCCACACCUUUCGUCACUAAAUCUUGUGACACUGAAAUCCAUCCGACAACACAUGAUGAUGCUUCGAACCCCUAAUUAGCAACCACUUCAUGCCAAAGCUCCUUUCUCCCCCAUCACAAGGGCAGUAGAGAUCCAGAGUUCAACUCCUACGACAAAACAGUAGCCGCGCAGACCCAUCAAUCGUUACAUAUCCAUAUUUUCUUGUCCAGCAACAGUGGAAUACCUCCACUACUUCCCUAGGCUUCCACAAUCAGCCCUUCUGCUCAUGUACUGCCCCCUAUCUUUUUAAUAAGAGAAAAAUCUGCAUUGUUCAUUUUUGUUUCCACAAAACAGAUGAUAUCUGCUUUCCAACUCUAACCAUCAGCCUUAUCAAUCUUUGUUCAUCUUUAUCUUUUAGGGGUUCCAAAAGCUUAACUUCAAAUUCACUUCUUUUCAUUCAAUAACUUCCUCCUGCUGCCCACUGCCCACUGCCCAUAUAUCCACUAGACUCACCAUAAUUGACAUUAAACGGGCAAUUACAACUCCCUUUAAAUAUAGGAGAAGGAUUUGAGUUUGACACCAAUUUAUAGGUCCUGAUAUUUUCAAUCUGUAAUAACAGAUCAAGGAGCUCAUUUUCGAGUUCAUCAUAUGAACCCCAAGUAGUUUACACAUUUCAGUAUACUCCUUCUUACCCAUCUUGACGCCCUUCUCAGUUUAAUCUUUUACUGAAAUUGCGCAUAAAUAUAUCAAAGGAGAAUCAACAGCAUGUGUUCAUGUGAAUUCUUCAAAAACCUUUGAAUGAAAUUCUGCUGCAGAUUUUCCCAGGUCAUAUUGUCAUCUUCAGGUAAUGACUCCAUCUCACCCUUUCAUCCUCGAAAUAUUCCAGAGAAAAGCUUUCUUCGGACCUAGGGGAAGGUCUUGGACAAACAUAUCCAAGGAAGCAAGCACAGAGACUGUAGUAUCUUUAUUUCCCAUCAAUUCCAACAACUGCAUGGAGCUCUCAACUUUCCGACACUAAAGGAUACAUGAGAUAAGGGUCUGCGUCUUUAAACAUGGGUCUUCAGCUUUGGACUUGCAGAUAUUUUUAAAAUUGGCUGCCCAUCCAUUAGAUAUAUGAAUGUUUGAAAUGGUUGGACUGCUCCUCAUUUUCACCAAUGAAUUGGAUGGUCCUAUCUACUUAAUAGAAGACCCAGGCGCACCAGACUUAAAAUUAGAAGAGGAAAAUUGGAUCCCCGUCCGUUAGAUAUAUGAAUGUUCGUAACGGUUGGGUUGCUCCUUAUUUUCACCAAUGAAUAAGAUGGGCUACUUUUAUUAUUUGUCUACUUAUUAGAAGACCCAGACGCACCAGACUUAAAAAUUAGAAAAGCAAAGCCUUCACAAGAUGGCCCUUUUCAUUUUUAAAUUUUAAAUCUGGUUGCACAAUUGACAUGCAUCCCGUAUGCAUGUUAGAAUUCCACAAGGUAUUCUUAUUGGGAAACUGUGACGCUGCAUUUAAACCACCAAGGUUCUACACCUCAUCUCUUCCAUUUCUGUGAUAGCCGUAUUUUACAUCCUGAUCAACUUUCUCCACCCAAGCAUUGGACUCCACCCAUAUCCGAACACUAAACGUGAAGUUAUCCACCAUGAUUUUAAUCGUCGUCGGGACUUUUAUCUCCGCAAAACACAUGCAGAUUCUAGCCCAUCUCAGAUAUAUUAUGUAUCUCUUAUUAUCAUCCAUUUCUAAAAAACAGAAUCUGUCUCCAAUUUUUCUUGAAGAUGUCUUUCAACCGCGGAAAACUUGAACAUCUUAUCCAAACCUGGUCGGGGCGCUAAUUUUGUCGAUGAAAAACGUUGAUCGGUGACCACCAUUUAGUUCUUUAACUCAUCUAGCCGGAAUAUUUCAAUUCUUGCAGCCCAUUUUUGAAAUUCCCAAUGAGUAGGGCGAUUUUCUGGAAUCACCAAAGCAACCAAUUAAGCAUGUAUACAAAUACUCCAUCGUAUACCUGAGAGAGUAGUUGUCAAUCAAGAAUAUAUUGCUCCGUUCUAUCAUUAUUUAAGAUUUUAACAUCUUCUCUUUGCCAAAUCUUUAUCUAUACCACAUAAGGACAAAUCCACUCCAGGUGGUCACUCUUUCAACAUCUCUUCCUUCCACGACCCUUUCUCAACAAAUUUAAUAAUUUUAUUAGCAGAGUCCAGCCAUCCCAAGUUCUCUCCCAACUGUGGAAUGAUAUUGUGGGUCUUUUUUCUUCCCUUCACAGACACUACUAUAAUAUAAUUUACAAACAAAUUGAAAUUUUAGAAGAUAAACUACUAUGACGAUACUAUGAUAUGCAAUAGAAACUUUAUCUAUACUAGUAGAAUUAGGCCGACAGAGGGCCCAACAUUCACUACCUAUUGUUGAAAAUAAUUUUGGCAUGAGACUUUUGAACAUAGUAAUGAGCAUGCUAUACCAUCUUCCGAAAUCUACUGCAUUUUCCAGCCCAAACUCCACAUUCCCACACCACCACCCGAACAAAAAUAUGUAUAUACGAGCAAUAACAAAAAAAUAAAAAUAAAGGAUGAAACCUCAUGAAAUAAAAGGGACAAAACGAACUGGAGGGAGGGGUCAAAAAAGAACAGAAUUCCCUUCUACCACGGCUAAAACGAAUAUGCAGUUUCUAAAAAAGGUCUUGAAAUCAUUAUUCCUUUAAAUAAAUAGAGCAGUUGAACUUACUUCAAGAAAUAUGUUCGGACAAUCGGCUAAAUGUUGAGCCAGGUUAAGAGCCACGGGGGUAGUUGGUGACUCUCCAGCUGUUAUGUGAUCGAAAUAAAAAGUAGCCAAGUUGUCCACAGCAGAUGCACACUAAAAAUAAAUAAAUUGGAGUCAGUUUGUUGAGAACUAAUUAUAUGAUUCAUCCCAGCAAGGCUGUUAUUGAAGCGUGACCACCUUAUACAAAAGCUUAAGCUGUCAGAUAGAGCACACUUUUAAUUAUUUAACUAGUUUUUGGACACGUACGUUGCAUGUGCAUUCCUAUCAAUUUUAUAUAAUAUAUGUUAAUAAAUAGUGAGCAUAUUCGACCGACUUAAUUACUAAAUACAAAAUAAUUAGGUUUAUAUAAAUAUGCAAUAUGAUCAUAUCCUACUUCCUUUUCCUUAUAGACAAUUAAUAGAGCCUAAUUAUCAUAUGUCUUCUCUAUUACUGUAAGUUCGUUCCUCGUUGUUCUUUCAACACUUUGGAUUGGAGCUCUAUUUGAUAUAAUAAUAUAAAGGAAACUAUAACACCACCUAUAUGUAGACUGACUUCAUUCCUUCAACACAUGAACUAUGAUGAUUUAGAAAGGAAGAAAUAUAAUAUGUAUAUUUGAAAACUAUUAUAAUCUAUCUUAAUAUUAAGGAUAAACAAAGAGAAAAAUAGAUGCAUAUCUGAUAUGGAGCUCGUUGGCAUAGAGAAACACCGAACUAAUCAGAGUCGCACAAAUGCACAUAGAGGGGGACAUAUGAGAUGGAGCUCGUUGGCUGUUAAGCAUAUGUCGAUCUCAUUUAAAAUCACAACUUAGAAAGUAUUUCUGUAUAGGUCUGCCUUCCAAGAACUUUACAUAUCUAUCCUUGACGUGUGGUCAUCUACUUUUGCACUCAAUUUGAAUCUCUACCUUUUGUAAUUAUGCUCUCAUUAACUUACAUAUAUAGAUGAUAUAUUGACACUACCUUUGCCUGUUCAUUUUUUCUAGCGCUUAGGUUAUUUGAACUUUAAGUAUAGUUAAUUCAUUGAUAGUAUAAAAAAUUACUGCUCAAUGUGAGAAAAGAAUAUAAACAUAAUAGAAUUUCUGAAGUGAUUUUGUGGGUUAUUAACGUAUAAAUGAAAGAAAUAAUUUAAAAAAUUAGAUAAAAAUGAAAAUAGCAAGAAGUGCAUGGAAGAGGUGCAACUUCACUAAUAUCAGUAUUUAUUAUGGAAUGCUUGCCCUAACGUUUCAGCACAUUAGUAUAAUAAAGUUUUGGUUUAAAGUUGAUGAAGGAAGAACUUAUUUAUUUUUUAAGGGUAUUAAUGUCACUUAAUUUUAUAAGGAUAUUUUAGUCUUUUGACUUCACACUAAGGCCUUCACACUUAUAUUAUAGUAUAAUUAUAUUAGGUCUCGCUUGUGGACCUGAUUGGGUCAAACACGUGAAAUAUUUUUUGCUUUUUGAGUGGUGGUGAGAUUUGAACUCACGAUCUUUGCAUGCUCAUCCACCAUGUUGAAGUGUGUGACCACCUCGUAUAAAGUUUAAGAUGUUAGAGAAGAGCACACUUUUAAUUACUUACUUAUAUUAUGUCUCAACACUUGCAAAGAUCAAACAAAUACAAAGAAAUGGCAUCCAACAUCCCAAGGACAAUGAUCGAACGCAGCACAAACCUGUGAUUUGAUAUUUGCAUCCAGUACUUUAAGUCCAGACUCAAGAGACCCAGCAAUAAAUAUAAAGCUACUUGAGUCCAAGUUUAGUAUCAAAUGGAUCUGGUUUUUCAUCAUGAUUUCCAGGAAUGUGAAGUAAGCUCCUGAAAGCUGUAGGAUAAGACAAUUCGAAGUGGUUAUAUUGUUAAAAUGAAAUGCAGACAAUGUGAUCAUUUACAGAGGGAAAAAGAUUAUAUACCCCUCAAAAUUCGUGUAAGAGUUAUGUCCACUGCUGAGGACACAAUCAGGGAUAAAACCACUUUUAAAGAUAAACAGCUUAAACAAAUUAGCUCAAUUUGACACCACUGCUCAUUCGAAGAAUGUUGAGGCUCUAAUGUUUAAGAAGCAGCAACACCGCUGAUCGAACAGAUAAAUUUUUGCCAGAAUAACAAUGAGAAGGUCCACUUUAAAAAUAAGUGGUCAGUAGUUUAAAAUAUUUAACUCGAUCAUACCAAUCAAAAGAAAAUGUAAGCUAUAGACAAAGACACAGAAAAAAAUGAAAAAGGAACUGAAAAGAAAACCAAAAUGAUCAACUUCUUCUCUGCAUCUGCUCCCCACAUACACAAGACUCAAAGACGGCUUAAAUCUACUCCAAGCAAACACUAAAGGCAUACAAAUGGUGCUCCAAACACAUAAAGAACUACAAGUGGCUGCUACCAAAUCCAUAUUUAAAGAUGUAUAUCCUGAUAAACUAAUUUUAAUCAAUAUACUUCCGCAGUUUUCAUAUGCUAGCAUCAUUAUCAGAACCAAAUUGCCUAAAUGUUAGUUCCAACAUAAUGCUCAAUAGAUAACAGGAGUAUUUCUUUCCACCAGGAUGUCGACCUCCCAAAUGCCUCAGUAGUCUCUAUAUUUUCCCGUGUUGUAAUUGUGUCACUUAUAAGUAUGUUUUCUUAGCUGAGCGAAUGUAGACAACUCACAAUAAACCAUACUUUACAUCUGCAACAAGCACAUAGAAACUAUGGGCUCAAACUUGGUGCGUAUGUGAAUUGUAAUGCUCCCAUUCUUUGUUGGGAGUACACUCCAAAAUAAGUAGAGUGCUGGCAACAAAUUUUGAUGUUUGUUGGGAAGUUUAUAUGUUCAUAAAUCACAUAAAAUAUCUUUGUUCAGAGCAUAAAGCAGCAGAAGAUUUUAUGUUCAGAAACAAAAGCAGUCUGAACAUACUAUUUUGUUAACAUCAUAUAGUAAGAAGAGUUAAUUCUCAUGUGAUAAGCAUCCAAGAAAUAAAAUANNNNNNNNNNNNNNNNNNNNNNNNNNNNNNNNNNNNNNNNNNNNNNNNNNNNNNNNNNNNNNNNNNNNNNNNNNNNNNNNNNNNNNNNNNNNNNNNNNNNNNNNNNNNNNNNNNNNNNNNNNNNNNNNNNNNNNNNNNNNNNNNNNNNNNNNNNNNNNNNNNNNNNNNNNNNNNNNNNNNNNNNNNNNNNNNNNNNNNNNNNNNNNNNNNNNNNNNNNNNNNNNNNNNNNNNNNNNNNNNNNNNNNNNNNNNNNNNNNNNNNNNNNNNNNNNNNNNNNNNNNNNNNNNNNNNNNNNNNNNNNNNNNNNNNNNNNNNNNNNNNNNNNNNNNNNNNNNNNNNNNNNNNNNNNNNNNNNNNNNNNNNNNNNNNNNNNNNNNNNNNNNNNNNNNNNNNNNNNNNNNNNNNNNNNNNNNNNNNNNNNNNNNNNNNNNNNNNNNNNNNNNNNNNNNNNNNNNNNNNNNNNNNNNNNNNNNNNNNNNNNNNNNNNNNNNNNNNNNNNNNNNNNNNNNNNNNNNNNNNNNNNNNNNNNNNNNNNNNNNNNNNNNNNNNNNNNNNNNNNNNNNNNNNNNNNNNNNNNNNNNNNNNNNNNNNNNNNNNNNNNNNNNNNNNNNNNNNNNNNNNNNNNNNNNNNNNNNNNNNNNNNNNNNNNNNNNNNNNNNNNNNNNNNNNNNNNNNNNNNNNNNNNNNNNNNNNNNNNNNNNNNNNNNNNNNNNNNNNNNNNNNNNNNNNNNNNNNNNNNNNNNNNNNNNNNNNNNNNNNNNNNNNNNNNNNNNNNNNNNNNNNNNNNNNNNNNNNNNNNNNNNNNNNNNNNNNNNNNNNNNNNNNNNNNNNNNNNNNNNNNNNNNNNNNNNNNNNNNNNNNNNNNNNNNNNNNNNNNNNNNNNNNNNNNNNNNNNNNNNNNNNNNNNNNNNNNNNNNNNNNNNNNNNNNNNNNNNNNNNNNNNNNNNNNNNNNNNNNNNNNNNNNNNNNNNNNNNNNNNNNNNNNNNNNNNNNNNNNNNNNNNNNNNNNNNNNNNNNNNNNNNNNNNNNNNNNNNNNNNNNNNNNNNNNNNNNNNNNNNNNNNNNNNNNNNNNNNNNNNNNNNNNNNNNNNNNNNNNNNNNNNNNNNNNNNNNNNNNNNNNNNNNNNNNNNNNNNNNNNNNNNNNNNNNNNNNNNNNNNNNNNNNNNNNNNNNNNNNNNNNNNNNNNNNNNNNNNNNNNNNNNNNNNNNNNNNNNNNNNNNNNNNNNNNNNNNNNNNNNNNNNNNNNNNNNNNNNNNNNNNAACAAAGGUCCAAAGAGAAAAGGGGAAACAAAAGAGAAAGAAAACAAAGGGUUAACAGAACUUGCUUAAACAACUGUUCACUUGACUGUUAAGAACAAUAAGAUGGGGUGGGUAAUAGAAGAAGCUACUCCUCUAAAUUUACAGAGUUUAGUGGAAGAGAAGGACCAAGAAUUUGAGGCUUCAAUUUGGGUACACCAGAACAUAAUCAGACUCGGCAAGGUGUUUGGGAUAAAUAUUCAGGGAUGCAAGAAAGAAGCAUAGUCGCCUUUCAUGAAAAUUGAAAACAAGAGACAAGAGAACAAAGGGUUUCCAGAUAUGCAAGUGUCAGAAACUCCACGACAAAAAGGAAUUAAAGAACUAAAAGGGCUGGAAAUAGGAAGCAACUUCAGAAGCAAUAGUACUAGAAGUAAGGGGGGCAUAUGGUUAUCCAGGAUCAAUGAAGGUAAACAUUCUCUCAUGGAAUGUUAGGGGGUUGAAUCGACAUUGAAAAAGAAUGUUGAUCAAGAGUUUAAUUCACAAGUGGAAAGCAGAUAUAUAUUGUUUUCAAGAAUCCAAAAUCGAAGGAGACAUUGGAGAGAUAGUAAAAGAACUGUGGAAAUAAUAGAUGGCGGAAAUAUGCACAAUUGGAAGCUAGUGGGACUAGAGGGGGGAUAUUAGUUUCAUGGGAUGGUAAAUGUGACGGAAGACCUGAUUUUAUCCUGGCCUUUAAACUUAAUGCAAAAACUUAAUAUCCUCAACCAACUAGCUGAACGGGAGGAAAUACAUGAUCAGAGAUGUCUGACUGAGGAAGAAAUACAUGUUAAGUCUGCUUUAGCUCCGGAAUUUGAAGAGAUUGCUAGAAAUGAGGAGGCGGCUUGGAGGCAAAGAUCUAGGGCUCUUUGGUUGAAACAAGUGAAUAAAACACUAUAUAUUUCCACAGAACUUCAAAUGCUGAUAGGAGAUACAAUAAUAUUGACAAAUUGAAUGUAGAAGGGGAAACUAUGGUGUGUCCCGCAGACAUAUAAAAGGAGAUUGUCACAUUCUACCAAAAACUAUAUUUUGAACCAAAAAUAUGGAUGACACAGGUCAAUCUCAAAAAUUGUCCUAUAAUUUCUCCAGAAGAGAACUUAAUGUUGCAAAGUCCUUUUGAAACUCAGGAGAUCUGGAAAGUGUAAAGGCAUGUGUAGGGGACAAGCUCCAAGUCCUGAUAAAUAUUCUAUCUUCAUUCAAUGAUCGGAGGUAGUGAACAAGGAAGUAGUAGCUGCAAUGCAGAAAUAACACGAACAGGGUGUGUUUGAAAAGAGUUUUAAUGCCACCUUUGUGGCAUUAAUUCCUAAGAAGGUGGGGGCCAAAAAGAUGAAAGAUUUCAGGCCUAGAAGUCUAAUAGGAAGUGUUUACAAGAUCAUAUCUAAAUUAUUGACUGAAAGACUCAAAAAAGUAGUAAACAACCAGGUGGAUGCUCAACAAAUGACUUUCAUUAGGGGCAGACAGAUAAUGGAUGCCCCUUUAAUCGCCAAUGAAUGUGUAGAUGCAAGAUUGAAAAGCAAAGAGCCUGGAAUAUUAUGCAAACUGGACAUAGAGAAGGUAUAUGAUCACUUAAAUUGGAACUUUCUGUUAGAUGGAUUAACUGGAUCAAAUUUUGCAUCAGUACAGUAAAGUUCUCAAUUCUGGUCAAUGGUUCAUCAGCUUGUUGUUCCUUCUCAUAGGGGUUUGAGGCAAGGAGACCCUUUAUCUCCUUUUCUCUUCAUAAUCUCUAUGGAAAGAUUGAAUGAUAUGCUAAAAACUGCCCAAUUAAACAAUUGGAUAAGGGGUUUUAAGGUAAAUGCUAGGGCUGAGAGCAAUACGGAGACAUCCCAUCUACAGUAUGUUGAUGACACUAUUGUAUUUUGUGAGGCUGACAGUGAACAACUGAAAGUAUUAAGGGCAAUUUUAUCUUGUUUGAAGCUACAUCUGGAUUACAUAUUAACUGGAACAAAAGCUUUAUGUAUCCAAUAAAUAUUGUAAAUGAGACGCAAUGCUUGUCUAGAAUUCUUGGAGGUAAAAUAGGGGAGCUUCCUACCGUUUAUCUGGGAAUGCCAUUGGGGGCAAAGAUCAAAUCAAAAGGGAUAUGGAAUGGUGUUAUAGAAAAAUGUGAAAAGAAGUAGACUAACUGGAAGAGUCAGUACCUAUCUAAGGGGGUAGAUUAACUCUAAAUAACUCUGUAAUGGAUGCUAAGCCUACUUACAUGAUGUCCCUGUUUCCUAUUCCUGUGAACGUAGUGAAGAGAAUAGAUGCAUUAAGAACAAACUACUUGUGGGAAGGGAGCUGCGAUAAGAAGAAAGUACAUUUAGUCAAAUAGAACUCGCAUACAAUCAACAAGAAGGAAGGGGGGUUGGGAAUAAAGAACUUGAGAACUCAGAAUCAAAGCUUGAUGAUGAAGUGGUUAUGGAGAUUUUCUUAAGAAGAACAAUCCUUAUGGAAAGAGGUGAUUAGGGAAAAGUAUGGUACGGAUGGUAAAUGGACAACAAAAUCACUGAAUGGGCCUUAUGGGGUAAGUCUAUGGAAAUCCAUCAGGAAUCUAUGGCGUAAAUUCAUGAACAAAACCAAAUUCAGCGUAGGAAAUGGCAUGAAGAUAUCCUUUUGGAAGGAUAAUUGGUUAGGGCAAGGAUCUUUGAGACAAUUUUGAGACAAUUUUUCCUGACAUCUACAUCCUCAAUCAGCAACAAAAAGCAACAAUAGGAGAGGCAUGGAAUAUGCAAGGGUGGAAGCUUACUUACAGAAGACUGAGUUUUACAAUAUUAUAGAACAGUUCAAGGAAUUUCAAACUCGGAAGACAGUAUGAAUUGGCAAGGAAAUAAAAUUGGGAAGUUCUCUGGUAAAUCAGCUUAUAAGGAAUUCAUCCUUUCCAUGAAUCAAGUCAGUUGUUGGCCAUGGAAACUGAUUUGGAAAGUUAAAAUUCCAUAAAAAAAUUGCUUGCUUUACUUGGUUGAUGGCAAUGGAGGCGGUGUUGACACAGGACAAUCUAGUCAAGAGAGGAUAUCAAUUAUGCGCUAAAUGCUACUUAUGUGGAGAGGAGGCAGAGUCAAUUAGUCAUUUAGUCAUCUCUUUUUACACUGCAGGUUGACUGCUCAACUAUGGAGAUUUAUCAACUCAAGGGGUAUUAUGUGGACUAUGCCAAGAAUAAUUCCUGAAGUUCUUACAUGCUGAAAUAAAGAUGGUAAUUUGUCUAAUCAGAAGGAGAGAUGGAGGAGUCCCAGCUUGCAUCUGGUGGAUAAUUUGGGAAGAGAGAAACCAGAGAUGUUUUGAAGACAAGUACAAUCAUGUCCAGAAUAUGAAGAUGAAGUGUCUAUUGUUGUUCUACUUUUGGUGUAAAAGAAAACUUUUAGAAAACCAUGAGUCUCUUUUUGAUGUUUUAGAUUCCUUGUGAGAAGAACAAGGAUUAGGAGUCUUUCUUCCUCUCCUAUGUAAUUAUGGGAUGUGUAGUCGUUAUUAAUAUACAAUAUGUUACCUUCUCAGAAAAAAAAUCUUAAAAUUCCAAGUUAAUAGAAAUAUCAACUUUAUGAAAUAUAUACUAAUUCUUAUUGAGAGAAAUAAAAACAAAAAUAAUAAGCUACUCUACUGGAGUUUAUCACAGUAAGACAAAAGAGGGGGAAAACAAGGCAACAUAAAACAGAAGUAGUGGGCUUCGUAACUCCUCCUAGGCAUGAAACUUAACAGUCAGAGAAGGUUAGUCUUACGAGCAAACAGCAUACAGGAAGCCUUCCAUUUCAAGGGCCAUACACAGGGAAAUCUAGAAUAUAUCCAAAAUAUUUUUUUGGAGAACGAAUAUAACCAAAAUAUUUUAGAAGCUAAAAAUUCCUACCUCUCGAAAGAAUAGUCAAAGAAAUCCAAAUACCCUUGUAUUUGAACUGAUACAUAUCCACGUGACUAGGCAGAGAGAGAAUUCUGGAUCCAUAUGCAACAAUUAAUUUGCUGACUUCUCGAAAAAGAAGAAUGCCAUUGGGAGAUGAGAUUUCAAAAUUCAGUCGUUGGGACUUGUUCAGCACAAACUCGGCUAUGAAUUUAAGCAGCGGUGUUGUCACCUAUUCCAGACAUUAAAAAAAAUGGAGACACAAUUAUAUUAGCUUUAAAGGAGAAGAAGACAAAAGUCUCCAGUGUGCACCAAAGCACAAGCACUUUCUAGGGAUCAAAUUCUCUGUUUUUUUUAUAAUUAUAAUGCGCUAAGAUCAGAGUGAAUGAAAUAGCAACAGAAAAAUAUCUUAAAUUUUAAGGGAAAAUUGCCACCUACAAGUUGAUAUCACAAAAAGUUACUAUUUUUGUUUUCAAUAUUUGUUAGAUCUCCUGCAAGGGAAAAAUGUUUCAACAAUCUGGUACGCUUCAUCUCACCAGCAUGUAAACCCAUAUACACAAAUGUUCUUUAUCCAGGACCGACACUGCAAACAGAGUAGCUCAUUCUUGUAUUGGCAAGUAAAUGUCAAGAGAGAAAUAUAUAUGCACAGCAUAUAUUUGGAUGUGCUUCCAUUGGGUACGAAUUCUAUGGAAGAAUGUAUGUAAAGGGAAAACAGAACAGUGGUAAAGAUUUAACAGUAGAAAUUCUAAUGCUCUUUAAAGAUUAAAUCUCACCUCUGGAGUGUCUGCCCAUAUUCUUAUGGCCUUAAGAAGAAGGGGAAUAUGUGCUGGAUAUAACCAAUCAAAUAGGAAACCAUAUGUUCUUCGGCUGUUGAACAGUAGGAAUAGGAGGACAAAGAUGAAGUGAAAGCAUUUGAAAAAAUAAAGUCUUAUGCCUCAACAGGAAAAAUUCUUAUUCACCGUGCUACUAACCUACUUGUAGCCAUUGCAAUUCCUCUGAGAUCCCUCAUCAACCCAAUUAAUGCUUGCUUAACAUCAUCAGUGCGAAACAAGGCAUCCAGAAUCAGUUCCAGACUCAGCAAGACCUUUUAUUGCAUCAUUACCGCUCAACUCAUCAGUGUGAGGAACAGAAACAUAAUUACAGCUUCUGAACUUUUACAAUAAGGCGAAUGACUAGGAGCAGUUUAUUCAUGGAAAAAAGAGUUGAGCAACUUCUGGUGCAAUUAAACAAAAACAAAGCUGAGGUAAAACUCUUUCGCAUACUAUUCAUGGUGGUAAGACAAAAUAAGAAAGUUACAUAAUUAUUGCUCCAAAAACACACCUGCAGCAGUGGAUCCAUUGAUGCUUUAAAUUUCAAAAAGCUAUCUUCCAUAAAGAUCAACAAGCCAAUAAUAUAGUAAAAGGUAGUUCUACUACGAGAGCACCUGUAGUCCCCCAAAAACGGGAAUUCUUCCCUCUAAAUAUGAAAAAUUUAAAGUAUUAGUCCAACCAAAGCUACAAAUGUUUAGGAAUCAGCAGAAAAGAGAGCAAUGUACCACAGCUAUAAAUGAUACUUACAUUACGAUUGGAUAUUAUUAAUUGAGUAGUAUCCAACUUUACAAGAAGUUUUGCAGUCAUAUAUCUGCCAAACCAAGAAGCUUUAAGUAAUUAGAAUAGAACAAGGAGAUGCCUCAACUCUAAUAAUUGGUGAAAAACUUGAGAAGAAAAGUAAGAUGAUACUUGCCCAGAUGCCAUUUCCAACAUGAGAUUCAGUGUUUGACUGAUAACUUCCUCACUCUAAUGAAAAAGAAGAGAUAUAAUGAUUCAUGAUCACGGCAAAAUCACAAAAAAUCAAUUAUGACAAUUACCUCUCCAUAAAACUUAAGAUUGGUUGCUAUCUUCCCAACAAUGACGUUCAAUAUUAGCAUAUGAUCAUGGAGCCCAAGAAGCUCAGCCAAUUUAGCAUAUAGUUGCUGUAGAGGAAUAAAUGGAUUAAAUGCCCAGCAAGAGAAAUGACAAUAGAAAGUUUUUGGCACUUGGGUACCACAGCAAACAAAUUUCAAUUGUGUACCUUAGAUGAAUGUAUUGCCUGAUCUCCAACAUACGACUUUCUAAAGUUCUGGAAGAAAACAAGAAUAGCUAGAUCAAGGCGCUGUUUGCUCGUUUCUGCAUAUCUCUGCAUUAUAUCAAGGAUAAAUGACAUAAACGAUGAUGUCAGAAUCAACCCAAUAUAUACAAGUUUGAUCAAGUUCCCAAGAAAAGAAAAAGAAUAAAAUGCUUGAACGUGUAAAUGAGGAUGUGCUAUUGACACAAUAGAGUUUCACCUUUAUUUUAGUUCAGGGAAUGUGACAAUAACUUUUCUACGUGUCAGAGCUAUAAGAGUGCCAAAGUAUAGGAAGGAAAUUUGAGUGAACCUGACUGCGUAAACCACUAUCAGUAACAUUUAUCAGCCGCAGGACGCGUGCUGAAAGUUCUGCAUCAAGGAUUUCUUGAGAUUCCCCACUGAAAGUAGAAACAAACAUGAGAGAAAAUUAGGAGAAUGUGAACCUAAAACAACACAGCUAAAAUAAGUAAAUAAGCUUGGCAAUACCUGUAUCCACUAAGUUGCUUAGUCUUAACAAUAGCUGCAAUUAUGUGAACUAUCCAAGCAAAUUUUGUUUCCACCACCGUAAGAACCUGGGGAUCAGCGGAUUCCUGUUUCAAACAGAAAUAAAUGUAUCACUGCAAACACAUAAGCUUCAUUAGACCUUCAACCCUUAGAAAUUAUAAAACAAAAAAUCUAAGCAUACCAUAUACAUCUGCAGUAGAGGAUCAGUAACCUGCAUAAUGUAUGAGCUACAACUCUCAUACUGUGUCAAAUUAACUCAAAUUAAUCCAAAUUCAGCAAUUUCAGUAAGUCAAAAGCCAACAGUAAAAACAAACAUUGAACUUAAAUGAAUUAGAAAGUCAAGCAACUUUCAGAACAUUUUGAUAAUCUCAAGAGUGUAAAUACUUUAGAGUCUGAACCUGAAAUCUGCAAAGAUAAGGAAGACAAUCAAGCUGAUCUUGAAGAAGGUCAACAUUGUCAAGGGGGUUCUCUGAGAGAUCAGAGAUUUCUCCCUGCAACACAAAAUAAUAGAAAGUAAAUCAAAACCACAACUUAACAUGAAACUCUUGAUGCAACCUCACUUGCAAAAACAAUACAGUGCAACCUGAAAGGAACCAAAUCUUGAUGUGAUAAAACUUUUCACAAUCUCUGGUACAAAUUCACUAAGCAGGCUUGGUGUGUCUCCCUUCAAAUACGGCACAGAUGAAACCAAUCUAGACCACAGUCCAAGAAGGUAGUAAACACUACUGCUGGCCCACUGAUCAUGGGAAAAACCACAAUCAGAAAUUUCAGACAAACAGAGUUAAGAUUAGUGAUCAAAAGCUAUUCUUGAACCCAGUAACAAGGGGUUGACCUGCCAAGACUGCAAAGAUCUCAAAGUAAAUUCGGCAACCAGACGUAUCCAGUCCCCAUAACUUUCCACAUUGACAAGCUCCGAUAACUGCAAUAGCAGUAUCAAAAUCACAGAAAGAAGGCACAUCAAACACAUUGCAGGGAUCAAUAAAAGGAAGUUGAAACAAAAUAUUUUGACCUGGCCAGACUUGAGACAAAUGGCAAAUUCAGCAAUGAGCAUGCCAGUUAGAAGCAAACUUUAGAUCAAGCAAAAUAUCCAUGAAUAUAUCCUAAUGAAGGCUCUGAUGUGGUUGACUGUUAUUGAAGAAAUAGUACUACCAAUUUGUUCAGGUUAUGGGCCUACAAUUGGCUUACGAAACACAAGAUUCUUCUUCUUUACACUCCAUAACCACUAGCAGCUACUUAUAAAAUGAGGCAAUUACUUAUUCCUCGGUCACUGAUCGAUACAUUAUAAACUCAUGCCGACUCUCAAACUUUGAGAUCUGAGAAACUUAAGGUUGAGCAGGAAUCUUACAGUUAUAAUUUGGAAAAAUUGUACAUAUUGUAGCCUAAACUACCAACUCUACUGGAGCAAGAAGCUCUAAACCCCUUUGAUGCCAAAGUUAUGAAAUGAGAUUGUAACUGGUCCUAACUUAGCUAAACUUGGUAAGUGAUUUAGUACAAUAAAAAUAUCAACAUACGGAAUCAACGUGAUCAAACGAACAAUGAACUAACACAGAAUAACACUAUAUUAUUUGGUGUUCGUGUGAAAAUCUUCUAACGACAUCACAUCUCCAAGCAGCUUACCAAGAAUUUUAGACAAGGUUCAAACAGUGUAGAGAAUUAAAAAAUGAUGGACAGUGUUAUGAAAACAUGAUUAUAUGGGUAGCAAGAAGCGCUUAUGCCCCGACCGUGGGGCCUUAUGGGAAGAGUCAAGCCCAAAAGGAACAGCACAUCCCUACUUCGAGUGCAACGUUGUACUGACUGAUGUUAUUAUGUCUUUUAUUUUUAAUAAGAGGAAGUGAAAACAACAUACUUCACUUCAAAUGAAGUUCUUCAAGGUACAAACGUCAUCUUUCUGGUACAGUUGUUACUGCACUAAUCUUCAAGGACCCGCUUGACCACUACUCUAAAGCCAUUGUAUUUGUCAAGUGGGUCAACAUGUAUUAUAGAUAACCUUUUCUAACAACAAUUAAGUUAAAAAUACAAAUAGUGAAAUUUUACGAUAAGUGGGUUGAGUGAAUCCCCUUUGUUGAACGUAGAUCCCCCUUGGCUUUAAUAUACUAACCUAAUGAAACUUUCCUCUCUUCUCUUAUUCACGACUCUAAGCAAACAUGGACAUACACAAAGGAAAUUCCAAAGUUUACAAGAUAUAAUGUCAAAACGCUAUUCAGUUAAGAAUGCAUAAUGAAGAAAGUGAAAAAACACCAUCUUAGAUUCAUACAUACAUAGAAGUCAUCUAUGUACAUCAACAAUGCCUCAAUUCAAAGCGAGUUAGGUCAGCAAUAUGAAUCCUCACAAAUGAAUUUAAAUCUAUGUGGAUGCCUAGCACUAACUUUUCAUAUUAUCAAGAAAAAGAAGGUAAGGGAGCAGAGGCUUCAAUUCAUACCUGAUAAUUGACUUUAAAACGUCCAAGAAGCCGACAGAACUCAUGAUAAUUAUCGUGAUGAGCCAGACCUGUUCCAGGAAGGGGGAAUGGAGAAUCGUUUCAUCAGAUUCUCUAGCAGAACAUAAGAAAUGAAACACUUUAAAACAGCAUCCGCUUGCUCAACCUAAUUGAUGCUAAAUCAAUAGAAAUCAACUUACGUUCAUUUUCCUUUCUCCCACCCUCACCCCAUAUCAAAAGCUAGGAGAAAAAUGUAACUCCCUCUGUCUCAAUUUAUGUGAUAGUGUUUGACUGGACACGGCAUUUAAGAAAGAAAGAAAUAAAGAAAGGCUUUUCAAACUUGUAGUCUAAAACAAGUCAUAGAUAUUUGUGAGGCUAUAUAUCAUCUCAUCCAGGAUAAAAGGAAAGUUUAAAGUUAAAGUGUUAAUAAAUAUAGAAAGGUGUCAUUCUUUUGCGGACGGAGGGAGUAACAAACUCAAAAGACCUACCUGAUUUAGUAAGUCUACUUCAUCCAUUGAUAAUUACAAGUAAACAGAAAAAUACAGUAGCAUGAUUGCAUAAAAUGAGACCUGCUGCUUUGUGCAUGUUUAUCGUUGACUUGUUAUGGAUAUUUAAUAUUGUUAGUAAUAGAUUUCUUUUAAGAGCUUAUUGACAGAAAUUAGCAGUUCGAUUGGCUUGUGUAUCUGUUCGAUUGGUGUGUUGUUUUGGGGUUUAACUCAAAGAUGAUAUAACAUCUUAUUUUGGAUGAAUGGUGGAACCUUAUUAACAUAAGGCUUCCAGGGGAUGCAACAGAUACAAAAGAAUGCUCCUAAUUAAAACAUGAGGAAAAUCCUUAAAUUUGCAUAAACCCUUUUUCCAAAAAUAUUUGGUUGACGUAUAGUGGUUGAAAAACUAUUGCAACGGAAACUUUAAAGAAUCAAUAUGAUUUCAAUUAGCCCCAAUUUAUCAAAUUCAGACAUAAACUUCCAUUCUAUUGACAACCACUUGUCAAGACUGGAAGGUUUUUCUCCAAACCAACCUCAUAAAAGGGAGUUGGUGCUCUGCAACAGGUCCUUGUUCUGCUGGAAACUAUAUUAAGUUUAUGCAUCAUCUCUAUCUCAAAACCUGAAUUCUAUUCUUUUAAUUUUAGAAAGACAACCUACCUGAAUUCUAUUCAACUAUGAACUUCUUAAAUCCCAAUGAAACCUCCAAAUUAAACAGGAAAAUUGGCGCCGGAAUAAAAGGGCGUCUUUUGAAGGUACUGAAAUGACCUCAUAAGUUACUAGAAAGCACAUCUCCCAUAGAGAGGCCAGUGCAGAUAUACCUUGGAGCCAGUGGUGCCUGAGAACCCAUGCAUACUGCGCACCCAUGUUUUCAAAUGAGUUCUUAGUUCACUGGAUGAACUUUUGCCAUAGGAAGAUCGAGCCUCAUUUAGAGCAUUCUUUUGUAUUUGUUUUCCCGUUCACAGGCAAGCGCCAUUCUCUCAUGUUUGUUUCCUUUUCCCCUUUGAAUCUUUCUUCUCAUCCUUUUUCCAUGUCUUUUACCUGCUUUUCUUUCCAAAACCAAGCAGCCUUAUAGCAUGUUUGGCCAAGCUUCUUUUUGGCCAAAAGUGAUUUUUUCCAACAUUAAGAUGCUUAGCCAAGCUUUUAGAAGGAAAAAAUUAUUUAUGAGUAGAAACAGAAGCGGCUUUUGAGAAGCAGAAAAAAGUAGCUUCUUCCCAUAAGCAUUUUGGAGAAAAUCACUUUUGAAAAAAAUAUACAUAGAAGUAUUUUUUAAAAACUUGGUCGAACAAGAAUUGCUGCUCAAAAGUGCUUUUCAAAUUAAUUAGCAAAAAACAAACUGCUUCUCCCUAAAAUUACUUUUUUUGAAAAGUACUUUUCAAAAUAAGCUGAUUUUAGAAGCUUGGCCAAACAGGCUAAUCUCUUUCUUUUUUCUUUUUUUUAAAUUUUUCCUUCUUGAAAAGGAUUUAGCAUCAUACAUUGAUAAUAUAUUUAUUUUUUUAAUAACGUAAAUUGUAUUNNNNNNNNNNNNNNNCUUCUUCUACGGAAACCGGCCCAGCUAUAUAACAUUUCCUUUACAGUGCUUGGCAUCACCCAUUGAACACCAAAAAGAUUCAGGAUUGCCCUCCACAAAGCCGAGGACACAGGGCAAUGCAACAAAAGAUAAUCAACUUCUUCCCAGCUUUUACACAUGUAGCACCAACUAACAAGCGUAAUUCCUCUCUUUCGAAGAUUUUCAGCAGUCAAGAUCACUCCCUUCGCCGCUAGCCAUGCAAAAAAACACACCUUCGUGGGCGCCUUAGGAAUCCAAAUCGAGGAGUAGGGAAAAGUGGCCUCAUCUCUCACCAAUAUACUCUGGUAAAAGGACUUUACGGUAAACAAACCAUCACCACGCAAACUCCAUCUCCAAGAAUCACAAGAUGGCUGGGGCCUGUCUUGCCCAUAUAGCAGUGUCAACAAAUCUUGGAGCUCUGCAAUCUCCCAAUCUUGCAUGUUCCUUCUAAAUGAGAGGUCUCAUACUACCCCCCCCCCCCCCUCCAUGUUCCUUACGAAUCUGUUGGACCAUCAAUUCCUUCUGGUUUGAAACUCUGAAGACGUGAGGGAAGGAGACCCUCAAAGUAUCCUCUCCACACCACCUAUGAUUCCAAAAGCUGAUUCUCCUCCCAUCUCCCACUUUGUAAGUGAUGUUGCCACUGAAUGCUUCCCGAUUCUUCAUGAUGAUCCUCCACAUGCCACGCCUGAAACGUGUUGUGAUUGCCUUGGUCCUCCAACCCCCUUCCAUGGAAUCGUACUUUUCUACUAUGACCUCCCUCCAUAGGGCAUGCUCUUCUACCCCGAAUCUCCACCGCCACUUCCCCAAUAAAGCUCUGUUGAAUACCCUAAGAUCUUUAACUCCAAGUCCACCCCACUUCUUUGGGGAAGUGACUGUCUGCCAAUUCACUAGAUGAAACUUUCUAGUUCCAUCCGCCGCAUCCCAAAGAAAAUUCCUUUGAAGCCGCUCCAGUUUUUCUGUGAUGCUCACCGGCGCUUGUAACAGGGACAAGUAAUAGGUGGGCAUACUUGAUAAAGUGCUUUUAAUAAGCACUUCCUUACCGCCUUUUGACAAGUACCUUUUCUGCCAGCCUGCUAAUCUUUUUUCAACCCUUUCGAUUACUGGAUUCCAAACUGUAGUAUCCUUAUGCGACGCGCCCAAUGGGAAACCCAGGUAAGUAGAGGGGAGGGAGCCACCUUAUAUCCGAGAACAUAAGACAAAGCAUCAAUAUUAGCAACCUUACCCACCGGGAAAAUCUCAUACUUGCGGAGGUUGAUUUUGAGUCCUGAUACUAUCUAAAACCACUGCAGGACCUGCUACAGGUAGGUCAACUGAUCCAUAUCGGCAUUACAGAAAACCAGGGUGUCAUCCGCAAAGAGCAAAUGAGAGACUCUUCGGGCACUGAGCACCCCGAUCAGAGCUGAGAAUCCUCUCAAGAAGCCUCCGCCCACCGCACGAUCCAUCAUUUUACUCAGAGUAUCCAUCACUAGAAUGAAUAGCAUGGGGGAUAGAGGGUCACCUUGCUUGAGACCCUAGAGCUGUCAAAGAAACCACAGUGCUGCCAUUAACCAAGACAGAGAAUCUAACUAAGGAAAUGCAGAACUUGAUUCAUCCCUUCCAUCUUGCCCCAAACCUCAUCCGCAUCAUAAUGAAAUCCAGGAACUCCCAAUUGACAUGGUCGAAAGCCUUCUCAAGGUCCAACUUGAAUAGUAAACCGGGUUCUCUAUUUUUCCUUCUGGAGUCUACAAGUUCAUUUGCCACCAAAGCAGCAUCCAGGAUCUGCCUACCUUCCACAAAUGCAUUCUGGGAGGACGAAACAGACACGUCAAGAACCUUCUUAAGUCUGUUGGAAAGCACUUUGGAUAUAAUCUUGUAGAUGCUUCCCACGAGACUAAUAGGCAUGUAGUCUCUACCACAAGAUGCACCUUCUUUCUUAGGCAUAAUAGUAAUAAAAGAAGCAUUGAUACUUCUCUCGAAAACACCAUUCACAUGGAAGUAUUCAAUGAUUUCCAUCAACUCCCCUUUGAAGGUGUCCCAACAGAGCUGGAAGAAGGCCGAGGAAAAACCAUCAGGCCCCUGAGCCUUAUCACCAGCACAACUCGACACAGCCUCGUGCACCUCCUCCUCCUCGAAAGCGCUUUCUAGCCACUCACUGUCUCCCUCCCCUAUAUGGUUGAACUCUAUUCCCCCCAAAGUCGGCCUCCAACUAACUUCCUCUUUGUAUAAGUUCUCAUAAAACCCCACGCCCCUUUUACCUCCUCCUCAGUCCUCUCCCUCAAUCCUCACCCCAUCCACAACUAAGAACUCUAUGAAAUUUCUCCUUCGAUUUCCAACCUCCACCCUGUGGAAACACUUGGUAUUCGAAUCCCCCUCCUUUAACCAAAGCACCCUCGAUUUUUGCCGCCAACUAGUCUCCUCAGCUAUUGCUAACGCGACUAUUUCCUCUUAACCUCCCUCAAUCUCGCUUUCUCAGAUUCAUGUAACUCCCUCGCCCCUUCCCCUCUUUCUAAUUCCUCCAAUUCAUGCAUAAGUUCCCUCAUUUUAACCUCUAUCCUCCCAAAAACCUCCUUAUUCCACCUAAUAAUAUCUCCCUUGAGCAAUUUAAGUUUCUUCAUAAGACGGAAUGAAGAUGUCCCUGAAACCCUGUAGCUUGUCCACCAUUCUUUCACCUUGUCACUGAAUCCUGGCACUUUCAACCACAUGUUCUCGAAUCGGAAGGGAGCAUGCACCCCCCUCCCUCUGCAUCCAUCUAGCAAAAUAGGCAAAUGAUCCGAAGUCAACCUAGGUAAAGGAAUCUGCAGCACAUUCGGCACCAGCUCAUCUCAUGAGGGUGAUAUCAGGAAUCUAUCAAGUCUAGACCUUGAGUUGGAAUCCUCCGCCCUGGCCCAAGUAAACCUUUCCCCUGACAGAGGAAGGUUAAUGAGAAAGUGAUCAUUGAUGAAGUCACAAAACUCUUCCAUGGCCCUUGAAAUCAGAUUACACCCUAAUCUCUCCUCCGAGAAUCUAAUGGUGUUAAAGUCUCCCCCUAGAACCCAUGGAAUGUCCCAUUCCCCCAUCACAGUGGCCAGUUCCUCCCAGAAAGACACCUUGGACCCUUCUCCUACUGGUCCGUACACUCCUCCAAAUCCCCACUCCACCCCACUUACUGUAUCUUUGACAAGAGCUGCUAAAGAAAAAGCUCCCUUCUUAAUCUCCUUUACCUCCAAGCUUNNNNNNNNNNNNNNNNNNNNNNNNNNNNNNNNNNNNNNNNNNNNNNNNNNNNNNNNNNNNNNNNNNNNNNNNNNNNNNNNNNNNNNNNNNNNNNNNNNNNNNNNNNNNNNNNNNNNNNNNNNNNNNNNNNNNNNNNNNNNNNNNNNNNNNNNNNNNNNNNNNNNNNNNNNNNNNNNNNNNNNNNNNNNNNNNNNNNNNNNNNNNNNNNNNNNNNNNNNNNNNNNNNNNNNNNNNNNNNNNNNNNNNNNNNNNNNNNNNNNNNNNNNNNNNNNNNNNNNNNNNNNNNNNNNNNNNNNNNNNNNNNNNNNNNNNNNACACUUCCUACUGCUGGGACCCAAUCAUAUUUUACCAACUACCUCCCUAGACACUCCUCACAAUCACAUCCGACAAGACUUCCAUUUUUGUCUCCCGAAAACAAACUACAUUAACACCCCACUCUCUAACUCCCACUUUGAUGAUGACCCUUUUGUUUGGGUCAUUCAUCCCCCUCACAUUCCAUGAAAGAAUCUUAACUUCCAGAAAUAAUACCCCCCUUUUCCCCACCACCCCUAGCCGAGCUCCCCACCUCCUUGUCACACACCCGACCCCUUCUCUAGUACACCACUACAUCCCCUAAAUUAUUUUACUUAACACCUUGACCCAAUUCCCUCCCUGCACCAUCAUAAAGGGAUUGUUGCUCAAUAUCCCUCAACAGCUCUAACACCCUAUCUUCCUUCCCUUCAAAAGAAGCGCCUAAAAACUUCCCAAAGUUUAAAAGUUUAUCCUCCAUCCAGAAAGACAUAUCCCCUCCACUUCGUGACGAAAUUGGGCAGGCGUCUUCUAUAUGUACCCCUUCCUUGCUCCUACCAGAGGAAUACAAGACCAUAGCAUUGCUAGCAAUAAGAACUUUAGGUGCCGAAAAGAUCUCACCAUUUCCUUGAGGGGCAACAACCUCUAAAAUUAACAACCCGUUGCUAUCGGAAUGUCCAGAAACGCCAGUAGGGUAGCAGAAAGGAAGAUAGCAUGGGACCCUCGGCGGCAUAUUAACUGGAGAUAUUAGUCCGGCAGUAACAUCAAUUGGAGCAUGCUCAACAAUCUCCCUAGAAGAAGAAGCUUGAGGAGUAACCUCAGGUGAGGGGGCGAUGGAGUUGGGUCCAUCAGAGGGGGGAGGCUGUGGAAUAACAGCACCAUCUUUAGCCGGUGCGGCCCCUGAAGCAGCGGCCAUCCAAGAGGGGCGCAGGUCAGUAGAGCUUGGUGAAAUGCCACUGUGAGAAGCACCAUUGGCAGAAGAAGGAGUAAUGACUUUUCCCAUAUGCAUAGUAGCCUUAGAAGGCGCGUCUUGAAAUAAUUUGGGCCCCUUAGGAUCAAUAAUAAUAGAAUUGGGAAAAGUUGUUGGGCCCAUGCGAGGAGGCCCAGGCCUAUACUUGCUGAAAACUUGCCCGGCCCUAUGAUAAUUAGAAGAGGACCGACCCAUUCUGCCUUUCCGGCCCGCAUCACUAACCCAUUCACGUCCUUUCCUCCUGUUGAAAUUUUAUCUUCCUCUCCCAAAUUCAAACCUCCUAUCUCUUCUCGAUCUAACGUCUUAUUCCAGCUUAGUCCAGUGAUCCGGUGAGCCCUCCUUUCCCCUCAGAGACUGAUUUCCCCUCCCAUCCCUUCUAUUUGACCUUCCCUUUUCUUCCGCCACUAUCACAGGCAUAAAGAUAGGGCGAAAUUCAGGGCUCAACUAAACCCUAUAACUCAAGUAGCCAUCCUCCACCACAGUGGAGACAGGGAUUCUGCCCUCUUUCCUCACCACAAUCCUCACUCGCGAGAGAUCGUGUAUGCUGCAAGUGACAUCAAUAAAACCCCCACAGAUUUCCCCAAUCUUCUUGAAUAGGUCAAGACACCAAAAAUGCACCGGGAGACCCACCAUGUUGACCACCAAUGUUUCGCCAGUGAAACGGGGGUCGAGACACCGAUUGUGCUCCAUCCACUUGUCUAGUUUUAAGAAGUUCCCAUCGAACCACCUGUUUCCUCUGACAAGAAUUUCUGAAGCUUGAGACUCAUCAACAAAUCGAAAGAGAUAUUGUGUGUCCCCCAAUUGUGAUAUUUUCAGCCCGUCCUUGACGUUCCAUGCCUCUGCUACCCAGUUCCUAACAGCCUCGGGAAAACCAACCCAUUUGGAGAAAGAACCAAUCAAACAAGAUUCCAAGAAACCCUUACGCCUUAGAGUGUGCUCCUCGGACAACGAGAAGUGCGGCUCCUGCCCUACGUCAAGCUUUCGAUGGCAUCUUCCCCCAAGUUCUAGGGCUGGCCAAGAGGCAGCUUUGAUGAAAGACAUUUUCCAAUUUUCUAGAUUCUAGGGAGAAGUAGGAGUUUCUCUCUGUAGAGUCCAUCAUAACAAAACCAAAAACCUUGCUAGGGAGCUGACUGAAGAAGAGAAAGUGAGAGGAAGUAAAAUCUGGCCGGAAAAAGCCACCUCCGUCGCUGGAAGAUGUUUACAUUAUCACUAUAAUUUUACUGUUUUGACAGGUUACUUACCAUUAUUGGUUACCAAUCAAAUGGUUGUAGUGAGAAAUUACCUAUAGUUAACCUUCAAGCAACUUAAUUUGAUAAUACUUACUUAUAUCUUUCAAUUGUAAAGAUUAAACUGUUUUGCAAAACCAAUACGACCAUUCUCCCAUACCAUUCAUCAACUACCAAGCCCUAACAUUAGUGACUUUCGAACAUUAGCUUGGAAAUUGCUAGAAUCGCAAAUUGGCAGUUGUGACUCAUCCCUCUUCCGUCAUCAGCAGUGGUACGUCCAUCUUCUUAAAAUCCUGGCUCUGUCUUUGAGAGAGGCCCUUCUUGAGGCAAGUGUUAUGUCAACUAAUUAGUUGUGAUUUUGACGGCCAGCUUUGGUAUUUGUAGAUUAGCAUCCUUGUUUCUAGAUUAAAAAAAUGAGCUUUUUCCUUAACUAUGGUUAUCCAAAUCAGCUUGCGCGCACCUCAGUUAUCCAUCGGAUACUUGCUACCUCCCAUCAACACAAAUAAAUUAUGUCUGCUAAGGCUUAGGCAAAUUUGAAAGAAAUCACUUAGAAUUUUGCCUCUGCUGGGAUUUGAAUCCUGAUCUUUAAGCUUUGUAUACCACUUCAUUAACCACUAGGUCACACCGUCGGUGCAUAAAAAAGGAGCAUUAAAAUGACUGCCGGUACCAAGAUUACAAAUGAGCAUCUUGUAGAUCUAAGAUGGAAGGGUGGGAAGCUAAAUAAGGAGGAAAAUUGCGAUACUCGGAGGUGAAGGAGGAGUUAACAAUGAUGUAAUAGCACAGGAGACUAGUUGGAGAAGAAAAUUGAAAGCACUUUGGUUCAAAUGUAGGCUACUCCAAUAGAAAGUUACUCUACAGGUUGACAAAGUUACUCCAUAGGUUGACAAUAGCUAAUAGAAGAAGGAUGAAGGAACAAUAGUGGACUAUUAUUCUAAUUAAUACAAAGAGGAGAGGAAUUUGGACCUACUCCAAGUGCGAAAAAGUUUAGCCAAAUAGUCUCAUGGUCACCCAGUCAACGAAAGCACUUCCGCUUUUCCAAUAGCAGAUCACCUAUACUAUUCAUUUCGGUGAUGGAAUCAAUAAGAAAGAUGAUGGAUAUAGCAGUUGUAGGCAGCUCUCUAAAGGAUUCAAUCCAGGCUUAAGGAGCAAUGGAAAUGCCAGAGUUUUUCAUGUACUAUUCACGGAUGAGACCCAGAGAGGCAGAGAUACUUCAGCUUUUCUACUUAAGAUAGGUCCUAGUAUAGUUUCAAGUGUUGUCGAGAUUGAAAAUCAAUCCUCAAAAGUGCGAGACCAUUCUGGUAAGAGGUGACCAACAUUGAGCAAUUAAAGAAUUGGAGCACUCCCAACAACUUCCUAAAACUACCAUAAGAGCAUCAAACAACGACUCUUCGGCUUGAAAUGUUGUGACUUGUGAUUGAAAGAGUUGAGAAGAGAUUAGCAGGGUGACAAUAUAGGUACUAGUCAUAAAGGGGUAACGACAUCAUGAUCAAAAUCAUAUGAUAAAGUGUUUCCAUAUAUUACAUGUCCUUCAUGCCUACACCAAACAGCUAUAACGGAGAAAUUUCAACAAACUUUCUUGUGGAAUAUGAACAAAGGGACGAGAGAGCUUCAUUUGGUAAGGUGAAAACGUUGUUACAUUCCCUGAUUUGGCACGAAGGCAUCAAAGUAAGAGACUUGAAAGUUUUCACGGAGCUUUAGUUGGAAAGUAGCUGCGGAUGUUUGGGAACAAGGAGAAUGUAUUAUGGAGGACAAUGACCGUGAACAAGUAUGAUAUACUCAAAAGGGGUUUCAAUAAUUAGGGAGUUUGGAGAAGCAUCAUGAGGAAUAGGACUUCACCAGAAAUGUCACUUUCAACGUUGGCAACGGAAACUCAAAUAGGGUCAGCUUUUUGAAGCACAAAUGGAGGUGUGAAGAAACUUUAAGGACUCAUUUGGAUGGAUGGAUUGAAUAAAAUCAUGAUAUAAAAUUUGAUAUUAUUUUAUCAAGUGUUUGGUUAGUCUUUUAAGUCGUGCAUCACUAAUCCCGGGACAAUUUAGUACACUAAUUUGUGUAUUACUUUAUACCAAAUGUAACAUCGAAAGACAAUACACGGAUUAAACACCAAAAGACAAAACAACCCUUUAUCUUUUCCUCAAAUUCAUCAUCGACACCCUUUUAAUUUUAAUAAGGCUAAAAAUAACUCCAUAUUAUAAAUUUUACCCUAUAUAUUUAGUACAAAGAGCCAAACACCCAAAUAAAAAAUAAUCUCAUCAUUGUUAAUCCCAAGAUUAUUAUUUAUUACUACUAUUUUUUCUUUUACUUUAGUUACCUUAUUAUUUUUCUGUCAAUACAUUAGGGCCGUUUGGUUGAGAAGCAAGUUAUGUGGAUUAGUUGUGUCCGGAUUAGUAAUGCAUGAAUUAUAACGUAGGAAUUAUAAUACAAGAAAUUAGAAUACAGGGAUUUAAUUAAUAAUUGUCUAACCUAUAUGUAUUGAUCAAUUAUAUGUUAAACAACAACAACAACCCAGUAAAAUCCCACUAGUGGGGUCUGGGGAGGGUAGUGUGUACGCAAACCUUACCCUACCCCGAAUGAGUAGAGAGGCUGUUUCUGAAAGACUCUCGGCUCAAGAAAAGAAAAAGACAAAAGGAGAUAAUAUUAGUAUCACUACAGAAAUCAUAUGAAGAAUAGGAACAACAUGCAAUCCAGAAGAAAGAUGCAAAGCAUAAGCGAUAGCUAGUAAAUAUGUCCUGCACUGAAAAACGAAAUAGUAAAUAAAAUAAUAAAUAAAUAAAAACCUACCAGACUAGUCUCACAAAGAUACGAAGGCAAGGCUCAACUACCUCCUAACCUAUAACCCUAAUACUCGACCUCCACAUCUUCCUAUCAAGUGUCAUGUCCUCAGAAAUCUGAAGCCUCGCCAUAUCCUGCCUAAUCACCUCUCCCCAAUAUUUCUUAGGCCGCCCUCUACCUCUUCUCGUGUCCUCCACGACCAGCCCCUCGCACCUCCUUACAAGAGCAUUUGGGCUUCUCCUCUGAACAUGCCCGAACCAUCUGAGUCUCGCUUCCCGUAUCUUGUCAUCAAUAGGAACCACGAGCACCUUCUCCCGAAUAUCAACAUUCCUAAUCUUAUCCAUCCUAGUGUUCCCGCACAUCCACCUCAACAUCCUCAUUUCUGCUACUCUCAUCUUCUGGAUAUGUAAGUUCUUAACAGGCCAACACUCAGUCCCAUACAUCAUGGCCAGUCUAACCACCGCUUUAUAAAACGUACCUUUGAGUAGUGGUGGCACUCUCUUGUCACACAGGACUCCAUAUGCUAACCUUCACUUCAUCCAUCCUACCCCAAUACAGUGUGUGACAUCCUCGUCUAUCUCCCCUCCCCCAUGGAUAACCGACCCCAAGUACUUGAAGCUACCUCUACUUGGGAUAACUUGUGAUUCAAGCCUCACAUCCACGCCCACUUGCCCCGGCUCAGUGCUAAACUUACACUCCAUGUAUUCUGUCUUCGUCCUGCUCAGCUUGAAACCCUUAGACUCAAGGGUAUGUCGCCAAACCUCCAGCCUCUCGUCGACAAUUAUAUGUUAAAAAUCACCUAGAAUAUCCCAAAUAGAGACAUCAUCCUUGAGCAGAUUAGCCAACUUUUAAGGUUCUCUUUUUUCCUUCAACUUCUUUUAGUGAGGUACAUGGUGGAUAAGUACAGAAAGGUCACUUUAGAAUAUUAAUAAAAAUCAUACUUUUUUGUUUAACCUACUUGUUAUCUAUAUCUAUCUUUAUAAAUCUAGCUACCUAUAUGUCUGGUAUUCUAAAAGCACCGAACUUUUAUGCGAAAUAUUCUCUGUUUUUGCCUUUAGGAAAAUAUUUCACAUUAGACAAUGUUAUCGUUUAGUUUUGAGGAUUGUGUAUGACUUUUAAGUUACCUGAAGUUUUGGCCAUUAAAUAUUUUCUUAAUUAUUUGAACUAUAUAGAAACUUCAAAUAUUCAGGAAUUAAAAUCGGGUAAGAUGGUUAGCUAUAAAGCUUGACUUUAUGGUACGUUCAUUCUUUAUUUACAAAUUACAAUUAGCAAUCAAAACUCAAAAUUCAAUUUUCACACUUUAUUUAUCUAUCAAUAUUUAUACAAUUACACAAGCAGGAAACUUCAACACAAAAUAUUGAUAGACUUUCUUACUCUUCGUAAGUAAAUUCGAUAUUCGACAAAACUCUAGAUUUUUAGGACUUCAUUAUUUAGUUUAUUCGUUGUUUGGCCUUUAAUUGUUUCUUCCUUUGUUGCGUUAACUAAAUCGUAUUAUUAUUCACCGUUUUCAAGAAUUUACAUUUUUUUUAAUUUUAAUUUCAUCACACAAUCAUAUUAUUUAAUGCUAAUAUUCAGGUAAUUUUCUUAAAAUUAUAUACUCACUGACAUAGGGUACACGCGCAAAGCGCGUACCCUAAAACUAGUCCUGCUAAAACAAGAAUCAAAUUACUAGGAAAUAUGAAAUAAGAAAUCCUAAUCUAUAACAAAAGAAAUCUUAAUCUUGAAUAGAUUCUUAAACUUAUUAAAUUUCUUGAAAUUCUUGGGCCUCAAUUGGAUUAAGGCUAAUUAGCUUAAGCAUUUUAAAUUUGUGGCCCAAUGGUCCAAAUCUAUUAGCACCUUCGUGAGCCCAAUAAGCCUCCAUUAUUGUAAAAAAAAAACAUGGUCUCUAUUUGUGCUUCUCUAGCAUCACGAUUUGAGCUUGUAUGUUCAUCAAGUGGCGUUGCUCAUUGGAUGUAAAUACACACUGAUAUAUGAAAAGAAGCCUUUUCUUCUAAAAGCUUCAUGAUAUCAUAGUCAUUGCUAUUUUUAGGUGAGUUUUCUCCCUCGGUAGGGUUCCAUAUAAGUAUCAAGAGGUCGAGUUUUUCCUCCCUCCUUCAUUGUCAUUGCCAUAACAGCGACGGUUUGCGUCGAACAUUCAAACCGUUUAUUUUUUGGCAAAUACUAUUACCACCACAUGGUUUCUAAGCCUCAGGCGACCAAAUCCCAGAAAGUUGUUCCGGCAAAAUCACAGUCACGCGUCGUCACGUGCCUGUUGAAGUUUCAGCGCGGCAACGCCCCAGAUCGACGCGCCGUCACGUGAAGACUUUUUCGGCCACCUUCUGAAGCAGAUUUUUUCACCUUGGAAUUCGUCCAAUUGUUCCAACCCUACCCACCAAGUUUCAGAAAUUUCUAAACAUCAAAGGUCAUUUUCUGGCGUAUCAGAUCCUUUGUUUUUCAACUCUGAAAAACAGGUUAGUUGGCUCUUGAGAUACUAAAAGAAAUUUCUCUUUGGUUGAAGACAUGGACUUUAUUUGUUCAUGCUAUGGCGGAUACAAAGGCGGUAGAUAUUAACUCUCUUUCAAAAGUCAGUGUUGUGAAACUAGAUGGGGCUAGCACAUAUCUUGCUUGGUUAAGAUCAUGUUUGAGUUUUAUUAAGUCUAGAAUAUUGCUUGAUUAUAUUUCUUGGAAAAAAGAAAAAGAAAAACUGAUUCUAACUAUGGUCAAUGGGAUUCUGAUAAUUCCCUUUUUAUGCAUGGCUUUUGAAUACUAUACACUUCCGAAUUUCUAAGCAAUAUUUAUUGCUUGAUACUGGCGAAAAGAUCUCGAAUUCAACCAAGCGCACUUACUAGAGGUGGGCAUCGGUCGGUUCGGUUCGGUUGUGAAUGUUAUCAAUUCAUCAUAUCAGUUAUCGGUUUAUAAAUAUACUAAACCGAUAACCGAACCGAUAAGAUAUCGAUUAUCGGGUAUCGGUUAGUCGGUUAUCGAUCCUUAUCGGUUCGAUUAUCGGUUUACUCGAUAAGAAUAAAAACUAUCCAACAAAUUCAUGUUUUUAUCAUGAAAUCAUGAUCAUACUAUUAAGAGAAAGGAAUUGAUUUUUUGCUCUUAAGAAAAGACGGAUUAAAUUUCAACUUAGAAAAUAAAAUUUCUUUGCAUUUGAAAAUCCCAAUAAAUGAUCUCAAUUUUCAAAGUUAUAAGUUAAUAGGAGUAAGGGAUAAACCAUUCAACAAUCUAAUCUCACUAACUAUCCCACGACGGGCGGGCAUAAUUCACAGAAAAAUAAUAAAAUCCUAAUCUUAUAAAUACUAAAGAAUAAGUGCAACAAAAGAAACAAAUAGAAAAACUAAAAAUCUUAACAAUUAAUUCUCUAAAGUUUAAAACUAAAAAUCUUAACUGAAAAAUUAAAAUGAGAAAUUCAGAAAAGUUUAAAACUUACUCUAAGGAUUAAGGCCAGAAGAUGAAGAGUAACUACCGAGAGAAUAGAGAGAAUGAGAGAAUGAAGCCAUAAGGUGGUUUUAUAUACUUAAUGGGUAAAAUUAUAAUUUUGUUAAAGCUUAUUGGGCUAUCGGUUAAACUGUUAAUAAAAUUGGGCAAACCGAGAUCCGAACUGAUAACCCAUUAGUCAAAUAACAUUAAACUGUUAUCGAACUAUUUACCUAAUGACCCGACACUGAUAACCCAAUAGCAUUUUAUCGAUUCGGGUUAUCGGUUAUACCAGAUAUAUGCCCAGCCCUAGCUCUUAAUCUCACGAGGGAAAUGAUGCGCAGAUCUUUGAAAUUCGAAAUAAAAUUUAUGUCAUUGAUUACUAUUCCGAGUUAAAUGGGUUAUGGCAAGAAAAUGUCUACUACCAGGAUCUCCAAAUGAUGUGUACUGAUGAUGUAGUUCUUUUUCAAAAAUUGAUUGCUAAGAAAAGGGUAUACGAUUUUCUAGCAGAUAUGAACCAAAAGUACAGCCAAAUCAAGGUUUAAGUUCUUGUAAAAUGCUUUUCCUUCUCUUGAGGAUGUUCAAGAGGAAAAAAGUCGACGAGGGGUCAUGCUUUAUUUAGCAUCAACCAAGAAGUGUGGGUUAACUGCGUCUCAUGAGCAACCAAAGGCAUUCAUUUAUGAUAAAGAUCACUUGAACUGUGAUUAUUGUGGCAAGCCAAGGCAUAUAAAAGAAACAUGUUGGAAACUACAUGCUAGACCAACCAAGGUAGUGGAAGGAAACGUGUAGGUCCAUCACGAGGUCAGGCUAAUAUUGCAAUAAAUGUAGAGACAUACUGAAAACCGUUUCUGGAGAAGCUGUCUUCAGACGAAGUUCAGCAUCGACACCAUCUCCUAGACAAACUUGACUCUUCUAAUGGUGACACUUCCAAUUACGUGCUGUCAGUUAUUGCCUUUAAUGCUCAUCUUAAUUCUUGGAUUAUUGAUUCUGGUGCGAAUAGACACAUGAUAGGUUCGUCCAAAGGCUUUCAAAACUAUUCUCCAAGCUUUUGCAAAUCCUAAAUAGAAGCAAGCUAUAAUUGAAGAAAUGAAGGCCUUGUAAAAUAAUAAGACUUGGGAACUUGUCACUUCACCGCCAGAUAAGAAGUUGGUUGAUUGCAAAUGAGUCUUCAUUGUGAAAUAGAAAGUUGAUGGGUCGAUUGAAAGAUUCAAAGCAAGAUUGAUGGCUACAGGAUUCACUCGAACUUAUGUAGUGGAUUUAUCAAGAGACAUUUUCUCCUGUUGCUAAAAUAAAUACUAUGAGAAUUCUUUUGUCUUGUGCAACUAAUCUUGAUUGGGACGUAAAACAGUUUGAUGUAAAGAAUACAUUUCUUCAGGGAGACUUAGAAAAAGAGGUAUAUAUGGAUAUUCCUCCUGGAUUUGACACGGAACAAAGUCAAGGAAAGGUGUGCAGACUAAAGAAAUCCUUGUACGGAUCGAAGCAAUCCCCUACAGCAUGAUUUGACAGAUUCUGUAAAGCGAUAAUCUCCUUCGGUUAUCAACAAAGAAAUUGUCAUACCCUCUUCAUAAGACAUCAAAAGGGUAAACUCACUUUCUCCGUUUAUGUGAGAAGAGAUGACCCGAUUGAAGAAGUUAUUGGCAUAGGAAUUUGAGAUCAAGAAUCUAAGAAAAUUGGAAUACUUCUUGGGAAUUGAGGUUGCUAAAUCAAAAAGAGAAAUCUUUAUCUCUCAAAGAAAGUAUAUUCUAGAUCUCUUAAAAGAAACUAGUACAACAUGUUGCAGACCAACAAAAUCGCCCAUUUAAAGCAAUCACAAGUUACAAACAGGAGCUGGAGAGUCAGUUGAUAAGGAGAGAUAUGAGAGGUUGGUUAGAAGAAUCAUUUAUCCCUCACACUAGACCAGACAUAACAUAUUCUGUCAGUUUGGUGAGUCAUUUCAUGCAUGAUCCAUGAGAUCCUCAUAUGCAAGUUGUCUUUCACAUUUUGCGGUAUCUGAAGUCUGCUAUGGGAAAGGUCUGCUUUUCUCCAAACAUGACCACUUCCAGGUAGAAGCCGUUACAGAUGCAAAUUGGGUUGGAUAUCUAAGUGAUAGAAGAUCUAGAACUUGAUUACUUGGAGAAGCAAGAAGCAAAGUGUAGUUACUAGAUCAAGAAAAGGCAGAAUAUAGAGCUCGGGCCCAGGGUGUCUGUGAACGUUUGUGCUACAUAAGCUAUUAAAGGAAUAGAGAUUGUCCGAAAAGAGAAAGUUUCCCUGUAUUGUGCUAAUAAGGCUACAAUCAGUAUACCUCAUAACCACGUUCAGCAUGAUCGAACGAAAAAUGUUGAAAUCGAUCGACACUUCAUCAAAGAAAAGAUCAUAACUGGCAUCUUGAGUUUGCUUCAUGUAUGAUCUGAAAAACGGCUAACUGAUGUAUUUACAAAAGGCUGCAACAAACAAACCUUUUGAGAGGGAGUGCUUACUAGCUUGAUUGUAGGAGCCUUAAUUGUAGGAGAUUUGUUUUCUUAUUCAAAUUGAUCUGCUGUAAUUUUGUAAUUGAUUGUAACUGAUUUCUUUUCCUUAAUUAGUCAUAGGACCUCCGGUAUAAGUAGUCUUGCUCUUUGUAUGUAAAUACACACUCAUAUAUAAAAAGAUGCCUUUUCUUCUUCUAAAAUCUUCAAUACGCGAUGAGGAGAAGAUGCAAAUCACCUUCUAAUGCACGACUGGUUCGCUAUCCAUAUGUGGUAGACAUCCUUAACUUGUUAAAAUAAGACAUGCCAAUUUCAGUGAGGAUGUGAUGCACAAUUGGGCAUUCAAAAGGGAAGCAGGAGAAGUACCUGGAUUGCAGCUCCCCUAGGGAAAGGAAUACAAGAAUUUUUUUAGGGGAAAUGUGACUUUGUACAUAUCAGGGCCAUGCCUUUUAUUUUUAAUAAAAUUGGAGCACCCAAGAAAUUCAUGUUAGUACAGAUGACAUGUGUCAUUUUCAACGAACUAUAUCUAGUAGGUUCCCAUGUUAGGCAUUCUAUAGAUGGGGAUUCUAACACCAAAAGAGACAUUUGCCUCGAAAUGGAUUCAAGACGGAAAAGCAUAGUGGAAGUUUGAUUUUAGGCUUUUGGAGGUCUAAUAUAGACAAGAGGGGUUGCUCUGAUGGUAAGCAACCUCCACCUCCAACCGAGAGGUUGUGAGUUCGAGUCUCCCCAAGAGCAAGGUGGGAAGUUCUUGGGGGGAAGGAUGCCGGGGGUCUAUUUGGAAACAGUCUCUCUACCCUAGGGUAGGGGUAAGGUCUGCGUACACACUACCCUCCCCAGACCCCACUAAGUGGGAUUAUACUGGGUUGUUGUUGUUGGAGGUCUAAUAUAGCUAUCCUCUGGCAAAACCAUGACAAAUAGGUGCAAAUUCAAUGGCCAGGCAGAGUUAGAUAUGAUAUUAUCACCCUAGAUUUACAACAAAAAAAUACUACAACAACAACAAAAUCAGUAUAUUCCCACAAGUGAGGUCUGGGAGAGUAAUGCGUACGCAGGCCUUACCCCUACCUAGUGAAGGUAGAGAGGUUAUUUCCAAUAGACCAUCGGCUUAGAAAGAGUGACAAAAAGAAGAAGACGAGGGGGUAAGAAGAAGAAGAAGAAAGAAAAAAAAAGGGGGGGGGGGGGUAUUACUAGUACUAAACACUAACAACAGGAAAUACGAUAAUAGAAGCGAACUAAAUCACACGACGAAGUAACGAUCUACUUAAGAAUAUGUAGGAACCUGACUGCUACUAAAGUAACUGGUAAAAAAAGGAGAAACUUACAACUACCUACUAACCCUCUACCCUAAUUCUCGACCCUCAUACCUUCCUAUCAAGGGUCAUGUCCUCAGUAAGCUGAAGCCUGAAGCCGCGACAUAUCUUGUCUAAUCACCUCUCCCCAAUACUUCUUUGGCCUAUCUCGACCUCUUCUCAAACCCGUCAUGGUCAGCCUCUCACAUCUCCUGAUAGGAGCAUCAAUGCUUCUCCUCUAUACGUGCCUAAACCAUUUCAGCCUCGACUCCAGCAUUUUGUCCUCCACGAAGGCCACUCCCACUUUGUCCCGAAUAGCUUCAUUCCUAAUCUUAUCUCUCCUGGUAUACCCACUCAUCCAUCUCAACAUCCUCAUUCCUGCUACUUUCAUUUUCUGCACAUGUGAGUUCUUAAUUGGCCAAUACUCCGCCCAUAUAGCAUAGUCGGUCGGACCCCACUUUGUAUAAUUUACCAUUAAGUCUUGGCGGCACAUUCUAAUCACAUAAAACGCCAGAUGCAAGCCUCCAUUUCAUCCAUCCCGCUCCCAUACGAUGUGCGAUAUCCUCGUCAAUCUCUUUGUUACCCUGAAUAAUAGACCCGAGAUACUUGAAUUUACCUUUCUUGGGGAUAACUUGAGUAUCAAGCUUCACAUCCACGUGUGACUCCUGAGCCCCGUCACUGAAUUUGCACUCUAAGUAUUCUAUUUUAAUCCUGCUCAACUUGAAACCUUUAGACUCUAAGGUCUGCCUCCAUACCUCCAACCUUGAGUUGACCCCACUUCACGUCUCGUCGAUCAACACUAUAUUGUCGGCAAAUAGCAUGCACCAUGGCAUUUCCCCUGUAUGUGCCACGCUAGCACAUCCAUCGUCAAGGCUAAUAAAAACGGGCUAAGAGUCGAUCCCUGGUGCAGCCCCAUCACAACUAGAAAGUGCUCUGAGUCCCCUCCCACCGUCCUCACCCGACUCUUAGCACCAUCGUACAUAUCCUUAAUCACCCUAGUGUACGCUACCGAAACGCUGCUAACCUCCAGACACCUCCACAAAACUUCCCUCGGCACUUUCUCGUAUGCCUUUUCAAGGUCGAUAAACACCAUAUGCAAGUCUUUUUUCCUUUUCCUAUACUGCUCCACUAAUCUCCUCACCAGAUGAAUAGCUUCCACAGUCGAGCGCCCUGGCACGAAUCCGAACUGGUUCUCGGAAAUAGACACGCUCUCCUCAUCCUGACUUCCACCACCCUCUCCCAAGUCUUUAUAGUGUGGGUCAACAGUUUUAUACCCCUAUAAUUAUUACAAUUUUAGAUACCACACUUGUUCUUGUACAAUGGAACCAUCGUACUCCACCUCCAUUCCUCGGACAUCAUUUUCGUCUUAAAAAUGACAUUAAACAACCCAGUGAGCCACACCAUGCUUGCUCGACCCGCGUUCUUCCAAAACUCCACUGGAAUUUCGUCUGGCCCCGUCGCUAUGCCCCUACUCAUCUUGCGCAUAUCCCCUUCCACCUCCACCUUAAUACGCCUACAAUACCCAAAAUCUCGCAGACUCUCGGGGUGCUCCAACUCACCCAACACAAUACUUUUGUCCCCCUCCUCAUUUUGCUAUAUUGCUAUAACAAAAAUAUAGUACAAAAUAUAAAUUUGAUAUAAAGCCACUCUUAGAAAGAAAUAAUUUAAUAACAAGAAGUGAAAUAGAAAAAUACCAUAAAACCACGUGGAGAAAUGACAGAAAAUAUAGAGGCAAAUCUUGAUCUUCAAAGUUAUAAAUAUAAAGCCCAUAAAACUAACACCAUCUGCUAUGGUUAAGAUGGCUAUAAAAACAACCAGAAUAUUUAAAGCAAAAUAUUUAAGAUACAACGAUCUUAUUCACCUUUCCCAGUUUGCAUAAUGUCUUUGGUUCCUGUCAUCAAGUGUGCUAAGUAUUUCACUCUAGAAGUGUCAUUUGUAAACAGUGAUCUCCUCACUGAAGCCAGCCGGAUUAAACACUCCAAUGCCUGAACAAAAUUAAACUUGUUACACUAGUCAAUUUACUGCUACAAGAUUGGGAAAUUGAAUUGUGGACUGAAAAGAGAAUCUUGAUAGUAGUUUAGCAACUCGACUUUAUUGUUCAAGUCACUUGUCAGGUGAAUGUAGUAGUAAACCAUUACAAGAAAAAAGAUGAGACAUACAUAUAAUUAAUUAAGCCUGUGAACAAGUGAAAUUAGCAAACCCAUUUUCUUUUGGUAUUGAUCAAAGGAGUGAUUUCCAAAAUAGUUCAACAAUCAUUCGAAGGAUUAAAAUGAUAAUUUGCUUAAAAAGCUUAACAUAAACAACAAUAGUAACACCAAUAUAGCAUUUACAUGUUUCCAGCAGAACUAAAAGAAUUAGUGGUCGCCGCAAAAGGGACAUGCACAUUCAAAGUUUACUUUUUCCAAAGCGGAGUGACAAAAUUAGCUCCUGAAAAAGUUCAAAGUCCCAGCCAUUAUAGACUAGCAACUGGAGAUUUGAUAACAAAAUACUUUUAUCAUGGUUUCAGAGCAAGCUAAAUAAUCAUAACAUUGAAGCAAAAAUACACUUGAAGGCACCGGAAACAGUAUGAUACUGACCUCCUUUGAAAUGUUAGGCUUAUUGAUCUCAUAAUAGUCAAAAAAAAUCUGCACCGUCGAUGGGUCCUCCAGGACUUGCUUCCACGAAGAUGGGAUCUGCAACAAUGUUAAGUGAGCAAUAUGAUAUUUGCAGAUAGGUUAGACAGCUUGAUAAAUGCAUGUUACAGAAGAUAAAAACACCUGGAUUGUGCUAAAAUCGUCCGAACUUUCAUCAACCGUUGUUCCCAUAAAGUCGAAUGAUAAACAUUUUAGUGACAGAGCAAGAGCCAGUUCUUGUAGUUUGCCGCUAACCGCAUUCUCAGAAAUUGCAACUGCAUAUUAACAAUAAGCAACAAUAGUGAGAUAAGUAAAUUAAAGAGAUUUAUACACCACGUGGCAGCUAAAAAUAAAUAAAUCAAACUAGCCCCACUGUUGUUGCUAUUAUCUGUUUAUUGCUUCAUUAUCACUGUUCUUGAGGCGGGGUCUACCGGAGAGGUAUGAUCUGCGUAUACAUUACCCUCCACAGGCCACACUUGUGGGAUCCCACUGGGUUUGUCAUUAUUGUUGUUGUCUUCUGCUGUAAAUCAUCGAUAUCUACUUAAAUUGGACUAAUAUUUCUGGUUCAAGCCUUUUGAGUGAUCCUGGGAAGGACAAAUCAUUUGAGAUCUCAUGGGUUCAAAUUGUUCGCUGGGAGGAAUGCUGGGGGGGUUUCUCUUUUCAUAGGCAAGUCAUUUUUGGCUAGAAGGUGUUGGAUAAAUUAUAGGGCUAGCGGCUGUUAUACUUUUUUGCCAAGAAGCCAACUUUGUCAAAAUCCCUAAAUUAAAUACACAUAGCAACGUCAAACAUCAGAAUUACGAUUGUAUCUGAUGAAGCAUUACCGUCAUUUUUCAGCUGGGCCAUUGAUGUCAAGGAUAUUUGGAAUACUUGAAGAAGUGAUUGAUCUCUGUAGGAGCAAGCCACCCUACGAUGCUGCGCUGAUGGCAAUCCAGGACUGGGCUGGAUACAAGAAAACGUAUAGCUGUAUGAACGGGCUGAUUAAAAGAACCUAAAUCAAUUUAUAAGGUUAAUCUAUCCAUUAUUAGGUCCAUAUCAGACCCCUUGAAAUCAGAAAAAUAGUACCUAGUUAUAAAAUUGCAAAAUUAGCAACAAAAAUACACUCUUCAACUCAUUAUACUAAAGCAAACUCCAAUAUAAUGAUCUCAAGAGUUGCCUGAAUUAAACCAGGAGCUGGACUGAAAAGAUAACAGUUAAUAGGAUACAACCAUAUAAUUUGACAGCAAGAGGAAGAAUAAUUUAAUACUAUAUUGAUGUCAAAAUCUAGGGACUGUCACAUGUUUUAACAUAUCAGAUUGCAAAUGAAUCAAUAUAAGAAAGUCGCAAGAAUAAUGAAUAUUUUUUAUGUAUAUGCACAACCCAUUAGGAGAAUAGGGCACACUAAAUGAAAGGGUAAAACACAACAUUUUAGGAUAUGUCAUUCAGUAACAACAUAUUUAUAUGAAUUUACAACUCCCGCAGUUGAAACCUCGCAUGGUGUCUCCUUUACUAGCUUCCCUUUUUGGAUUUCAUCCACAUCGUUUUGGAAAGUCAUAAAAGAACUAAGCCUUAUGAAAAGACUAACCUGAUUCAUCUCUGACACAAGUUGAUUCAAUAUCUUCAAACCAAUUGCAUAACGAGAUGCUGUCUGAGGCAUACAUCAUACAUCACGAAAAACAAACAAUUAGAGAUUCAUUUACCAAAUUGGCAAAUACAGUGGUGCAAGAUAUAGCAAACUUACAGAAAAGAAGGAAAAAUAAACACGGGAGUGGGAUCAAAUGGCAAGAUAAAGGGAUCCUUUGGACUAUCAAUGAAAGGUGUAGCAUUGAUAUUUGGAAUUCUAGAUGGAUCCCCAACACUCCAUGUCUAAGAAAUUCCAUUCAAGGGCCUCUCAAUAUGACCGACCACAAUUUAAAAAAUUAGAGAACUAACGCAUUUUUUCUAACUUGUCUUUUGACCUUUCCUGUUGUAUUACUGAUAACAUUAGCACUUUAAAUCUCUCCCAACACGCUACUACUUCCGACGUCCCUAUUUUGGUCCCUUAGUAGCAAUGGCAAGUUUAGUAUAAAAUCAUGUUACACUCUCGUUGUUGGUCGGGAGGACAAUGACAUAGAUUUUACAUGGAUUUGGCAUCUCAACUGCCCUAACAAGAUAAAAUUUCUCCUACAGAGAUGUUUUCACGAUAGAUCUUAUCUUAGCCAUAUUUGUAUGAAUAUUGACGUUGUUUGUGCAAUGUGCAAAACUGAGGAUGAGACCAUUAUGCAUACUUUCUUUAAUUGUCCUAUAACUGAUGCAUUCGGGAAGAAUUUAGGUAUUAUUCACCUCUCAGCCAAUGGUAUAACUCACUGGCUUUUCAUAAUAAAAAACUUGAAAUCUUACGUUGAAUCACAAUUCUUAUCUGGGAGGAUCUUUUCCCAUUUGUUAUCUGGAAUAUUUUGAUGAAUAGAAACAAUAACCAUCAUAAUAAUACUAACUAUGUUCUAUCCUCUAAGAUUGUUUUUUAGCAGGCAACGAAAUACAAACUCCUCACGGUCAAGGAGUCAAACCCAAAUAUUUAAAAAAAAUGGCAUUCCCCCCCCCCCGGUACAAACUUAAUAAAAAUGGGGCAUCCAAUGCUAAGAAGUUGUGUUGUGAUAUAGGUGAGGUAAUUUGUAACAGCUUGGGAGAUUGGGUUGUUGGUUUCUAUAAUUACACACAUGCAGCAUCACCUCUCCAAGCUAAACUAAUAGCUCUGAAACAUGGCCUUCGACUGGCAUGGGAUCUCCAACUGAAACCCUUGGAAAUCGAAACAAAGUCAACCGAUGUGCUCAAAUGUCUUGAUCAUGGUUAUCCAACAUAGUGACUGCAGGUGGUUGAUGCUCCGACUAGAGAAGGUGGUGGUCAGGCAUAGUUUCAGGGAAGGAAAUCAAGUGUUGCGCGUUUUAGCAAAGGAAGCUUCCAAGCAGUCCAACCUAAACCAAGUCAAAGAAUUUUGCUCUUCCACCUCCUUUUGUUGAAACUAGGUUUUUGGAAGAUAGAGGUGGAACUUCUUUUGUCAUAGUACUUUCAAAAAAAUAUAUGUACUAAGUUGGAUGAGCUUGGCAAUCCAAAUGUCCUAAGUGGCAUCUCUAUGGCACGUAAUAUGACUAGUUUAAGUACUCCAAUUUCUCAAAGAAAAGAAGAUCGUUGAAGGCUCACUUGUUUCAAAAAAAUACGUGUAGAUUUAUGGUCUUGUUACAAUAACACAUUCUCUUUAGUUACUUAGAUUACAUCUGUUAGAUUGCUUAUUUCUUUUACAGCAAAGCACCACUGAACACUUCCUCAAUUGGAUAUUAAGAAUGGAUUUUUGCAUAAUAUACUAGUCACAUCUGAUUGAUUGCUUAUUCCUCUCGCAAUAAUGCGGCACUAACUAUACAUCGACUGGAUCUUAAGAAUGUUAUUUUGAUAAGUAUUAUUCACACUAAAAGUCAAGCACACAGCUAUUGCUAGAUCAUUAAUAAACUAUUUGGGUCCAUAUGAAAAAUGGACCCCUGUAAAAAGAAAGGGAAAAUUACCAUACAAAAAUAACUUCUAUCAUCUUAUUUUUCUCAUACCAGCAUUCCAUUUUACACCAUAGUGCCAACCGAUCUAAGCAUCCAUAUUUUAGAAUCCGAACAAUAGUAACUACAACAACAACAACCCUUUUGUUCCUUUUCUUACAUAAAGUCUAGCAAAUACAAGAUGGGAUAGUUCUCCGAUUUUGUUCGGCACUUUGUUCCCUGAACAAAGCCACCAGCAACUAAAAGCACUUUGUUCCUUGGCAUUACUCAAUGAACCCCAAAUGUAAUACGAAAUAGAUACCAAAGUUGCCCGGCAACUUUGCAGUGAGAAUAUUUGAUUGCUGCUUUGUGUCCUCGUAGGGGGCUGGAUAUUUUUUUUUGAUAAAGUAAAUUAUAUUAAUCAAAAGGGAGAAAACUCCUGUAUACAAGCAUACCAAAAAGUAGAGAAUUUACAUCAGAACAUGAUUCUCUAUAAAUGACGUCCAAUCUUCUAUACAAGUAGGGGCUAUAUGAGUGCACCAAAAAGCGAUCAAAGAUAAAAGACUAUUCUUAAGAUAUGAAAAAGGAGACUCAAUCCCCUCAAAAGCUCUCCUAUUUCUCUCCCCCAAACUAUCCACAUGUGAGCUAACGGGGCGAACUCCAACGCCUUUUGCUUUCUUCUUCUACGAAAAUCGACUCAGCUAUAUAACAUUUCCUUUACAAUGCUUGGCAUCACCCAUUGAACACCAAAAAGAUUCAGGAUUGCCCUGCACAAACCCGAGGACACAAGGCAAUGCAACAAAAUAUGAUCAACUUCUUCCCCAGAGCUUUUACACAUGUAGCACCAACUAACAAGUGUAAUUCCUCUCUUUCGCAGAUUUUCAGCAAUCAAGAUCACUCCUCUCGCCGCUAGCCAUGCAAAAAAGCACACCUUCGUGGGCGCCUUAGGAAUCCAAAUCGAGGAGUAUGGAAAAGUGACCUCCUCUCUCACUAACAUACUCUGGUAAAAGGACUUUAUGGUGAACAAACCAUCGCCACGCAACCCCUAUCUCCAAGAAUCACAAGAUAGUUGGGGUCUAUCUUGCCCAUAGAGCAGCGCCAACAAAUCUUGGAGCUCCGCAAUCUCCCAAUCUUGCAUGUUCCUUCAAAAUGAGAUGUCCUAUACUACAACCCCCCCCCCCCCCCUUCCAUGCUCCUUCCGAAUCUGUUGAACCAUCAAUUCCUUCUGGAUUGAUACUCUGAAGACGUGGGGAAAGAUGAGGGGGGGCUGGAUAUUAAGAAUGCCUUUUGCAUGAUGAACAAUUCUGGAGAACAAGGUUUGGCAGGUCUAGUUUAGUGGUCCAACAGUUUGUGAAGACUUGAAGCUAAGCUGAUAAUAUUUUUUUCAUUAAGAUGGUAACGAUAAAUAAUUAUCUGGUUGUCUAAGUUGAUGUUACUAUAACAGACAAUGGCCAUAAAGUCAUUUCUUAACUCAAAUAGCAUUUAUACAACGAUUUCCAGCCCAAAGAUUUGAAAAAGUGAAAUACAUAAAUGACCCUUUAAGUUGUCCUCAACGAUCAGGCAGGCGCCUCGACCGGCCCUUUUACCAUUUUGAUACUUCAAGUGGCUAUCAAGAAUAUCAAAUAAAUACCCGGCCUAAUCCACCUACCUCGCGAAUGACACACGGUCUGAAACGCACGUUGCCUACCCAUCAAGUAAAUUAGACUUUUAUUUUUUUAGAAUUAAUUUGAAGUAGGCCCCAAAAUUCCAACAUCUUCCAAGAGAACCAUUUAUGCUACCAUCAACGCCAUUAUCCCCGCCUUCGCCACCACAGUGGUUGUCAAACCUUUGUAAGAUGCACAUUAGCACUUAGCAAAACAAAUUUUUCCAGCAGAUUAAAGCGAAUCAUCAACCAAAAAAUUGUUAAACUCAUAACUCAUGAAAUCUCAACAGAAUUACUCCAUCCAUCCAUUUUAGAAACAACUGAAACCCAGUUGCUUGAAUCAAGUAAUCAAUUGGACACCAAUUCAAGAAAAUUUACCCAAAAAAUUAGAAUACUCCAGAAAGAAUAAUACUUUAAAACCCAAGUUCUGAAUCAAUAAAAUAAGAGAGAGGACUGAAGACGAAAUGAUAGAGAAAUAGACGUCGUCGGAGCAGCCGAGGUGGUCAUUAAUGUUAUAGCUACUAAGUGUCGACUUUGUCAAUAUUGACGUGGAUGAGCUCUCAAAUGUAGCAUAAGGAGAUGAAGAGAGAGAAAGAAGGUUGCCGGAAAGGACCAUUUCCGACGAGGUCCUUGGUGGGUUUUAGAGUUAAAUUUUGAAAAGAGAUGGUUUUUGGGACGAGGGGUGAGAAGAGGUCCUGUUUUUAGGAAGAAGGGAUGGGGAAAAAAGAACUAGGGGGUCUUUAUUUGGUUAUUUGUAGUAGAAAAAAAAAUAGCGACGAAAGAAAGGGGGAAGUCAGAAAAGGAAUAAACAAAACAUGGGGAGGGGGGUGUGGAAGGGGGGGGGUAGACGGAAGAAGAUGAAUGGGAGGGGGCGGUGGUCUCAAGUUUGGUUAAUAGUAAAAAAGUUUAGUUUUUGGUUUAAAUGGUUUUUUUUAUUUUGUUAAUUACAUUUCUCAAUUUUUUAUUAAAAUUUAAAGGUGUCAUCUUUUAAUUGGUUAAUUUGACAAGUCAUUGGCGAGUGUAACUCACGCAUAUGGCCUGUUGGACUUGGGUGUUCACGAGGCUUAUUUUUUACGGACUAUAAGUGUCAAAGUGGUAAAUGGGUCAUUUGAUUUUGAGGUGUCAGUCUGAUCGUUGAGUACAACUUAAAGAGAAGUAUUGUCAUCUGAGCACCUUGGAAAUAUUAGAGAAAACUAUUAAAGGCUUGUUUAAAAUGUGCUUAAGUCCUGAAGCUCGGUGAAGCUCAGAUUGUGCUCUUCGCCUCGCUUAAUUGGCACUUUGAUGUAGGCGUCAAGAUGUUAAGAGAUGUCCACCUUCACCUGUAGGCUCUAUCUUUAAGUCACAGCGUCAUGCAUAUAGCUUAAUUAUGGUUAUCUAUUCUUUUUUCCUAAUAAUUAUAGUUUGUGUUUACAAUUAUAUUUUCUUGCAUUACAUUUCUACUUUUUUCUUUAUUGGAGUUUUUCUUCGCUAAAGCCCACGCUUUAAUUGCUCUUUGUGCUUAAAACUCCAAUACUCUGGCACUCUUGUGCGCUUUGCUUUUGACUACUCUGGAGUAAACAGGCAUGUUAGGUUACAAGCAUGUGAAUACCCGUGUGUAUCCAACUAUCAAACUCAUUCCUUAAUGAGGGAACCAUUAGUACACCGUGAUAGAUAUUAGAUAAUCUCACAAUCAUAUAACUAGGUAUUUCAAUUGCAAUAGGUUCUGUCAGUUUCCCCAAGCUCGAAUAAUUAUUGGGACGUGCAAUACACGUUCUCAGGUAUAUCAACCGGAGCUCUAAGACAAUGAUUUUUUUUUAUUAAGAACAAUGAUUGUUAAAUAAAAAUAAGGGUCAUUCACAUAUCAUUGGAUACUCUGAUCUAGAUUAAGCUAGUGUCUCUCAAACAGACGACUACCUCGAGAUAUUAUAUAGUGAUCCAGGGAAUCUAAUAUCUUAAAAGAGUUCAAAAUUACUCUAUCUAGUGCAGAAUCAAAACAUCGCAUUGUGAUUCUUGUCAUUUGUCAUAGAAGAGAAAAUUCUUUUUUUCCUUCUCGUUCAGUUAACCUAUCUCAAUGACGAGCACCUUCCUACCGCAAGAUGAGUCUCUGCCUUUCCCCUGCUUGAAAAUAAACUUCUCCAUAAUUUAAAAUGCACUUAAGUUAAACAUAUGGACCUAAUAUAUUUCAAUUAAGUUAUCCUUCGCAGUGCCUCAAAUCAAAUAUGUUAGAAAAAAUUUGAAUCCAGAUGCAUAAUCACUAGCAUCAUCGGCUCAAAUUACCAAAGUGACUUUUUAAUCAAUCCCCAAUAAAGUCCUGGAAAAGAAAACAGUUGUAACAACUAUCAAGCGUAUAACAUGUUCCCUCCACCUUGAAACAGAGUAUUGAGAAUAUGGUAGAUUCGAUUAGGACAUGGUUAGGUGAUUUGAGGGGGAGAUAAUUAUGCUUUAUUUAUUUUAUUUCAUUGGAUUACUAUAAAUUCGAUUAAUACAAGGUUAGGUGAUUUGAGGGGGAGAUAAUUAUGCUUUAUUUAUUUUAUUUCAUUGGAUUACUAUAAAUUCGAUUAAUACAAGGUUAGUUGAUUUGAGGGGAAGAUAAUUAUGGUCUAUUGAAUUUAUUUGAUUGGAUCUGAUCGAUGUAAUCAUAACAACAACUGCUACUAUAAUGCCUCACUUUUGAAGCAUGUGGGGUCCAGCUAUAUGAAUCCUUAUGUUACAUGUCACUUCCUUUAAAACCAUCUCAAUCCUAUAUUAAGAAAAUCUUAGGUUAUUGGUACUAGAAGUUAUCUAUAUUCUUUAGAGACAUAUAAAUCUCUACUAAGACUAAACGUUGGAUCUAAAGCAAACAUACCAACAUAACUAAAACUUAAAUUGGUAUUGCCUAUAUGGAUCUUCUUCUAGCACUGUGUCUUAUUUAUGGCUAAGUUUGUACAGAUUUCAAGAGAAUGUAGGACUUAAAACAACUUCCUUACAAGUAAUUUUAGGUCUACUUCGCCCAACACAUUCAAUCGCCAUGGUGAAAUAUAUAUGAACCAUAGCAUUUGGAUGUCAACAUAGGACAUGACGAACAAUCCCAAGCGAACUUCUUUCUUUUCUUUUUAUAUCUGCUACUUGCACCUUGUCGAAUGUGAUCAUUUUUAUUCUAGUCUAAUUUUGGAAAUCGCACAUUCUUCUUAACAUUCGCAUUUCUAUAACACUCAACUUAAGGAUAUACUAGAUAUUAGAGGCCCAACAUUCACUCCCGUUAUAUAUUAUCGGUCUUGCACCAUUUUAUAAAACUUUAUGUUUCACUUAGGUGGGUGCCGUCUUAAGCAUAACACUAUGGUAGUAUUCUCCAUUUCAACUAUUUUAUUUCUAUUCUAUGUGUUAUAUCAUCAUACAUCAUACCAUUAUCCUUGGAUAUCAAGCCUAAAUAUCCGAAUGUUUGUAUUUAGGCACAACAAUCUCGUCCAGUCUCAUCUUAAUUUCACUGUAUAGUAGCUCAACUUAGUUGCAUAUAUUCAGUCUUAUUUUUAUUAUCCUAAAACCAUUACUCUCAAGAAGUUCAGGUUUCAGGUUGACACCCUCGCCAAUAUCGUCAAUUAGCACAGCAUUGACUGAAAUAGUAUGCAGUAUGGAACCUCAUCCUAUAUGUUUUAACUCAUCCAUAACCAGAAUAAACGAGUACGACUCAACACCAAUCCCUUGUGUAAACUAACGGUUAUGGGAAACUGUUUUUGCAUAUUUUACCUCUAUUCUCACACUAAUGAUGGCUCCUUCAUACAUAUCUUUUAUGGCAUUUAUAUACUUUUAAUAUGAAUUCUUUUCUACUCCAACUCCCAUCAAAGAGCUUUUUCUUGGCACCCUAUGAUACACUUUCUCUAAGAACUUUCUUCCUCUCUAUAAAUUUCCGUCAAUCUGUGUAGCUACUUAAUAAUGCAUAAAAAUAGUUCACCAAAGUUGUAACAUAUUUAACUACUACGCUUGAGGGAAUAAUCAAAGUUAUUCCAUCAUUUCUCACCCUUUUCUUCCUUUUUUUAGAAUGGUAAGAUAAACUCUUUUCUUCCUAUUUUACUCUCUACAAAUACUUCUUCUGUCCCAUUUUAUAUGAUGGUGUUUGACUCGGCACAGAAUUUAAGAAAGAAAGGAAGACUUUCGAAACUUGUGGUCUAAAACAAACUAUAGAUGUUUGUGUAGCAUUAAGGGUAAAGCAGGAAGAUAAAUUGUUUCUAAAUACGAAAAAGUGAUAUUCUUUUGGGGACUGACUAAGAAGGAAAGAGUGACACAUAAAUUGGGACCGGGGGAGUAAUUAUUAAGGCCUCAGCCAUUUUUGCUGAUUGAAACUGAGUUUCUUUGGCAUGCAAGGUUGAAGCUUAGUUUUUCUAGCAUGUCCUUUAUGUGAACAACCUUCCUGCUUGACUUUUUCAAUAUAUAUCUGUUAGAUUGUUUUGUUGUCAUGUUCCAGCCUAUACUUCUUGGAUCCUCCAAAAAUGUCAUUGCUCCCGUGUCGAAUCCUCAAAAUUGUGUUGUUUUGGAGGAUCUGACACAAGUGCGGUGUUUUGGAGGAUCCAAGCAAUAUAAGUUCAAACCAAGAUCUUACAAUGUAUCAGACACAAAGCCCAAGCAACUUACAAUUUUUCAACCCAGUUGUAGAGCCAGACUAGUCAAUUAUCACAAAAAGGUGGUAUUUUCUGCAGGUAAAAUCUAGUGAAUAUAGCUAAAAAACAAACAAAAACAAAGAAAAGAAGACUCAGGCCAACCAUGAGCGCUGGUCUCAAAAAACAAGAUGCUAACUAUGGAAAAUGAAAUCUCAGAAAUUUCCAGCAAAAAGAAGGCAUGGCCAAAAAGUUUAGCAGUAUAGACGUAGUUAAUUGCACAUUUCAAAGAGAAGUAAAACAGGAAGAGCACAGAAAGAAGACUACAGGAAGAUAACAUACUACAUUCCAAUUAUAGAACCAAGAAGUUCUGAAUUUUCACAAACCAGAUACAAGCAAAAAAAGCUUUAAAGGUUCCUCAACCCAUCAUCUUGUGCAGCUCCCCCAUCCCUAUCAUGUACUCUAGAGGUUAAAAGAAUAUCUUAAACAUCAUUACCUGAUUCAGAAAGCUUGUGGAUUCUUGGACCACCUCUCUAAAACUGUCAUCCUCAAACCAACCAUACUUCGUAACUCGGCAAAACAGUUGAAUUAAAGAUGCAGUUACAAAAGGCUCCAAGUCUGUUCCUCUUGUUGCCAGGUAAUUUAUGAGAUAGUUACCUUCAUAAAAGGAGCAGAUUAGCUAGCAGAUUUGACGUAACAGUAAGGCAUGUGCGAGAGGUAUGUAAUCAGUAUUUUACAAGCACAGGAACAGCAGAAGUAUAAAAUAAGCACGACCAUGUUAUAUGCCAAAAUCUGAAGUAGAAGACUCCCAAGAUCUUCCACUACAAUGGAUUGAGUAAGAAUCCCCUACUCCAACAUUUCUAGUUUAUGGCAGGCAGAACCUUUACAUUUCUACAAGCAGUACGGACUCUCGACCAUAAAAGUACGGAAAAAGUAACCGCAUGUACCUUUCACUUUCUUCCUAAAUAGAAUAGCAAAUAUGAUCCAAAAUACCUCUACUUUACCUUCAUAUAUUCUAACUUUAUGAGAAAUGAAGAUAACAUACCAAAGCAGCAUAAAGGUAAGUUGCAAAUAAUAUAUACAAAAGGGAAAGAAAAAAAAAAGUAGAGGGGGAGGGGGGAUAAACUAAGAAGAAACAAUUCUAGGAACACAGGCAUAAAACUCUGCAGUCAAACUGAAACAUUACGAAUAUCAAGCCGGAUCUGCAAAGAUAGGCGCUGUUCUGUCACUUGCUUCAACAAGCUUGAACUAGCCAGCAUCAAUGCAUAAGGAGUCGAUGCAUUGUCCAGAAUGUAUUGACAUUGUGAAAUAUAGCUGCUAUUGACUGAGAAGCAUUUCAGGGUAUUCUCUGCAUGAGCUCGCUCAGCAGAAUCUUGUGAAUUGUAAAGCCUCUCACACAAUGCUUCAAGUUGCGCUAAGCUCUCCAUUGAUGAAGUAGUAAGAGAAUUUCUCAGAGCUCAGUCAAUCAAAAAACACAAGUUAAAGAUGCCAAAUUCUUUCUAAAUUAGUAAUCAAUGAACAUGUACAAAUUUCUAAAUUCAAGAGGGAAAGAAGAGACAUGGGAGGCAUCAAUCCGUUUCAGGCCAUCAUACUUCUUCAAAAUUGCACAGAUCAAAUAAAUGUAGCAAAGUUACAAAUUACAGGAACUUUGAAUCUUGAUUGUUUUACGUUACAAAUAUCCCUAGAUAUAAGGAUGAUUCAAAAUAGUGCCCAUUGAACUGCUCAGCAAACCCAAAUAAGGUCAGCUUUGCUUCUGUAGAUCACCAAUAAUGUUGUUCCUGAAUUAAAAAAUGAGAAAGAAAGAAAGAACUAUUAGCUAUUGAAAAAAAAAAGAACUUUGAGUUGGAGAGAAGAACGUUGAUUUAGCUUUUAAAAGUCUAUUUUGAGCCCAAAAGCAUGAGGCGAAAACAUAACUCCCCGAACACGUAUAGAUAAAAUACAGUUCUAUAUUUUUAUCAUGACACAAGAGCAUGCAUUUGUUGAAAUCUCCAGCGGUAAGGGGAAUAGAUUUCUUAUCAAAUUUUAAUUACUAGCCACCUCUUUUUAGUUUGGGGUUUCACAAUUAAGAUUCACAAUCUUUUUUAUGUAGAACACAACUCUGAAUGAAUAAGGGACUGAUUCUCUUCCCGUAUGACAAAAGCUUUAAAGUAUGUUUCAGUGGUUGUUGAUUCGAAUUUCUCCAUAUAUAAUUUAUAAGCAGCAUAUUUGUGUCAUAUCAUCAAAAAAUUAAACUGAAAGGCCAAGGUUAUUCAGCUAUUGUUUGUUUCAGAAAUAGCAACGAGUUUUUUCUUCUCCUUUCCUUUUUUAUGUAUAGCUCAGACCUAGUAAUGAGUUAUUCAACAUUUCUAUAUGUCCAGCUUACUGACAUGUCGAGAACUAGCUAACUCUCCUGCAUUGGACUAUUAUUCCAAGAGGCUACUAGCAUGAAAACUAUAUCUUGUACUACAGACUGAACUCAUACUGAAGUAAAAUGCCCUCCAACACACUGAUGUGCUUUCCUGUGCAUCCUUAUUAAUUUCACAGUGUGGCACCCUUGAACUUUGACACUGGUUCCCACUUUCCACUUCUCUUACUUCAACUACUCUGUAUGGGGAUAUGUAACCAAAGUUUCAAAUUUUAAGAGGGGGUCCUUUUACAAUAAACUAACAAAAGAAAACAAAAGGCGGCACUAAACACUACAAUGGUUUACAUUUCAUACUAUUAUACCUUAUCCUUUUCUUUACAACCUAUUUUCCAGAGAGUAAUAUCCAGAAUCCUGAUUAUAUUAACAUAAGUAGCAAAUCCUGAUUAGUUUGGGUAUCCAAAUAUUCAUAUAGCAGAUCACAACUUUAGUAAAUUUAGUAGGUCAUCACAAUAGUGAAUUUACAGAAUAGAAUUUCAUAUUAGCUAGUAAAACUCAGAAAGCACUCACUACAAUGCUUACAACAACAACAACAACAACAACAACAACCCAGUAUAAUCCCACCAGUGGGGUCUAGGGAGGUAGUGUAUACAUAGACCUUACCCCUACCCGGGGUAGAGAGGCUGUUUCCGAUAGACCCUCGGCAUCCCUCCCUCCAAGAACUCCCCACCUUGCUCUUGGGUGACUCGAACUCACAACCUCUUGGUUGGAAGUGGAGGGUGCUCGCCACUAGAGCAGCCCACUCUUGUCAUUCACUACAAUGCUUAAUAUCUCAAAUUCUGUAUCCAUUUAUUUUUCCUAUUUUCUAGCGAGAAAGUUACCCAAUGGAAGAUUAGAAGACCUGCAAAUAUACAUGGUUUACAAUGAUUAAUAUUUCACAUCCUAUAGCCUCAUCUGUAUCUUUGUCCUAUUCUUUCUAGUGAGAUAUAUCCACAAAACUGAUUAGUAAUUAAUCAAUGGCAGGUUAUUUACUGCCUUAUCCUUGUUCUUCUCUUUCCCCUAUUCUUUGGAGAAAUAUCCACAAGAUUAGCAAUGCAAAGUAGCAGAUUAGUACAAACAUCUUUGGAUUCACAUAUUAACGAUGUAAACAAGCGAAUAAAGAAUUACAAAACAAAAAGUAUCAGAACUCGCGUUCAGGAUUCAUUCAGGCUAAUUAAUAAGUUGCGACAAUCACAGAUAGCUGUCAUUAUCAGAUUACCCAAUCGGAGAAGACACAAAGCAUUGAAAUACUUCACAUUCGAUCGACAAGAAAGAGAACAUACACAAAGCCGAUUCGCCGGAGGAAGGGAUCGUAAGGAGUUCGCCGGAGAAAGAAAUAUAAGGAGAAGACUAUGGAGAGCGAGUGUAGAGAGUUUAAUCGCCUUGCCCAUCUUCUAUAUAUAUUUAAUAAUCUGUUUCUUUUUGGUCCGUUCCAAAAAGAACCGACACAUUUUUAAAUUUGGAAACAAUUUAACUUAAAUUUACAAUUCUAUCAUUAAUGAUAAGCUUUUAUAACCACACAAAUAAUCUAGGUCCCUUUUUGACUUGUUUAGCACCACAAAUUUCAAAAGUUUUCAUUUUUCCUUAAACUCCGCGCCCAGCUUCAUAUAAAUUGAAACGGAGGGAGUAUUAUAUAUAUAUAAUAUAUAAUAAUAAAAAUCUUUAUUUAUAAUAGGUCACUUGGCAAUUUCAAUUUAGGACAAAGUUAGUUACACCUUGGUUGCAUGGUUGAUACCUCUCUUUGGUAUCAUAUUGUUACAUUGAAUAUAAUAUUUGUUUUGAUUGUUACUUAAAUUUUAUUGUAUCGUAUUGUUAAAUCCGUUGUUACGUAACGACGAAAUGUGCCACUUUAUGUAACAACCGAUUUGGUGUGGUCACGUCGUUACCUUAUCUUUUUCCCCCAAUCUCACCUUCAUUAUAAUUUAAUAAUUUUAUUGUAUUAUUUAUCCUAUAUUUUUAUAUAAUAAUUUUACUCCGUAUCAUAAUCUUUGUUUAUAAUAUUGCAAGUUUAUUAUUUAUAUUGAUAGUACGUGAUAUCAUGAAACGACGUCAAAUGAUAUAAUAUAUCCAAAUAUUGUAUUAAUCAAACAAUACAAUACAGUAUUGUAACUACCCAACUAGUUUUUUUUGCUUUUUAGAACCUCAUUCCCCUAAAUAAGACUCCCCAUAUGUGUUUUUACUUUUUUAUGACUUGCAGGGAUGGUUAAUUCGGGAUUUAGAAGAGUUCGGGUUGAAAUCGAAACACUUGGUUCCUUAAGUUGGCCUUAAAAGGCUAAGUUUGACUUCGGCCAACAUUUUGAGUAAAAGACCUCAUAAUCGAGAUUUGACGGUUCUAAUAGGUUCGUACGAUGAUUUUGGACUUGGGUAUAUGUUCGGAUCGAGUUUUGGAUGACUCGGGAGCGGUUUGGCACCCAAUAGUGAAAGUUGGUUCUUUAAGGUUUUUGAAGUUCUUUAAAUUUGGUUUGGAGUAGGUUUUGGUGAUAUCGAGGUCCAAAUGAGAUUCCAAGAUCGGUAAUAGUUCCGUAAGGUGAUUUAAGACUUGCACGCAAAAUUUGGUGUCAUUCCGAGUUGUCUAAGUAUGAUUCAGCGCGUUCGGAGCGAUUUGAAAACUUGAAGUUCACAUUUUGAUUCAAUUUAGUUUUGGGGUAUGAUUCUUGGGUUUGUUGUUGUUUUACGCAUUUAGAGAGUUUGAGAAGGUUUGUAUUAUGUUUAUAGACUUGUUGGUAUAGUUGGAUGGGUCCCGAGGGGCUUGGGUGUGUUUCAGAUCGCCUAAAGCUAAGUUUGGGAAACCAGAUUUUUCAAUUUUGGUUUCCUUCUUCGCGAACGCGGGAGGGACAUUGCGUUUGCGACGAAGGACUUGGGGGCAGUGGGCAAUUGCUCUUCACAUUCGCGAAGCCUUAUGAGCCUAGCCCUUCACAUUCGCGAAGCCCCACUCGUAUCCGCAUAGGGGAAAUGGGGUCGGGGAGGGCCAGUUGACUUUGCUCUUUGCAUUCGCGUAAGAGAUGUCACGUUCGCGAUGCCCAGUCAGCUUAGGCCUUCGCGAAUGCGAGGCUUCUUCCGCGUUCACGAAGAAGGUCGUUCAGCUGGGCAGAACCUUGUUUUAAAUACGGGACUUAGACCUUUUCUCUCAUUUUUCUCUUACUUGGGCGAUUUUGGAGCUUCAAAAAGGGGGAUUUCAAGCUGGCUAUUGAGGGUAAGUAAUUUCUACCUAAUAUGAGUUUAAUACAUAGAUUAUGGGUAAAUUUUAACAUGUAAAUUUUUGGAAUUUAUGGGUUAAAUGGGUAAGAGGAAAUUAACCCCAUAGGUGAAUUAAUUAAUAUGUGUUCAUAUUUGUGGGAGCUAAGUACGUACGAGGUGACGAGAGUAUGUACGUAGCUACUAAUUAUGUUAUUGUUCGGGUAGUCUAAGACCCAUAUCAUGCUAUAUUUGAAAUGUUUGCACCCUACUUGUUAACUUAAUUGCCUAAGUCAUAUUAAAAAUUGAUAAAAGAAUUGUAUAAGGUUAAAUUUCACUUACUUGAAGUUGUGAAUGAGACACUUGAUUGUUAUUGAGAAUUUGUGUUUCUUUAAAGUAUUUUCUAUUUGUGGAGCAAGGCGAACGCCUCGGUAGCAGAUAGAUGCAUCUGUGAUUCGUGUCAUUCUCCCCACGGCAAUGCACAGUUUAAAUAUUAUUAUGUUGGAUCGGGUCGUAUGAUCUCGGCAUAAUUUGUGCAUGAUAAAUCUUUGGAACCCAUUUAUAAUUGAUAUUGUUCAUUGACUUGAGACACAAAUUGUUAAAUGAUGGAAAAUAAACUUGAGAUAUAUUCUUAGAGGAAAAGGUGUUUAUUAUUCCUGUUAUUGAGUUUCGUGCUAUAUUUAUGUAAUUCGUGCUUAGUUAUUACUUUGACAUCUUACUGUUAGCCCAUAGUAAGUGUCAAAGUCGACCAUCGUCACUACUUCUUCGAGGUUAGACUGGAUACUUACUGCAUACAUGUUGUUUAUGUACUCACGCUACACUUCACUUGUCACGACCCGAAAUUCCCACCGUCGGGACCAUGAUGACGCCUAACAUUACACUUUCUAGGCAAGCCAAUAUUAGAGAUUAUCAAACCAAAUUCUUAGACCUUUCAGUGAUUUAUCAACAAUUAAGCCAAAAGAAGUUACAAAAAUGCGAAAAUCCAUAACAACCUUAAUAUUAUACACAACUACCCAGUAUCUAGUGUCACAAUUCAUGAACUUUUAAGAUUUACUACAAGUAACUUGCUGAAAGAAAGUACAACUACUUUCGAAUUAAAAGAAACAUUAAACUGAAAUAGCUAGAAGGGACUCCAAGGUAUGCGGACGCCGGUAGAUCUACCUUAGGUCUCCUAUGGAAUGAAGUCACCAGCUGGUCUCAAGAUUAGCUCGGACCGAUACCAAAAUCUGCAUAGGAAGUGUAGAGUGCAAUAUCAGUACAAUCGAUCCCAUGUACUAGUAAGUGUCGAGCCUAACCUCAGCGAAGUAGUGACGAGGCUAAGACAAGACACCCACAAACAACCUGUGUAGUUUAACCAUACAUAUAUAAAUAACAGUAAUAAAAGAAACAAGACAAGAAAUAUUGGGAGGGGGACAUGCUGAGGGGAUCACAAUAUAAGGAAUCAAAGUAGUGAUAAAUACUUGACCAAACAAUAUGCCUUAAACAGAUAGAACAAAUAAAAGUGAUAAAGGAAACUACACGGCAUCACCCUUCAUGCUUUUACUCUCAACCUCACCAUAUGAAAUAAUAGAAACGGCACGACAUCACCCUUCGUGAAUUACCUCUGUCAUAACAUGGCGCGGCAUCACCUUUCGUGCAUUAACACUCAUAAUCUGGCACGGCAUCAACCCUUCGUGCAUUAUUACUUACAAAAACAUGGCACGACAUCACCCUUCGUGCUUUAACACUCUCCCUCACCAAAACAAGGAACAAUAAUGACAGGGAGAUAGAAAUGACAAUAACAAGUCUUAUUCCAACAUUUGAUUCCACAAUAUCAACCUCAACUUUGAGUCAAUAUUCAUUCAAUACCAAGGUUUGUAAACAUGAUAAAGAGUGCUCAACAUAAUAAGUAGCUAGUUUAAACAUGGAUAAUAUGAUCAAGGAAAAAAACAACCACAAGAAUAGGACCCACUCGCAUGCUAUAAUUCGACAACAAUGCAUAGGUACCCGUCGCCUCACCUAUACGUUGUACUCAACAAAAAACACGUAGCAAAUAGGCAAUUAAGACCUAAUCCCUCAAGUCAAGGUUAACCACAACACUUACCUUGCUCCAACGUCCAACUCAAAGCUUAACCACCAUUUUUCCCUUCACACAAGCCUCUGGACCAAUAGAAUCUAGCAAAUUACCAACCAAACGAUUCAAUUUAAGCCUUGGGAACUACCCAUGAUAGCAAAUGGUUAAAUUUAGGCCCUUUUUGAAAAAGUCAACAUCCAAGCUUGCUUGGUCCAAACCCGAAAUUUGUAUCAAAACCCGAUUACCCAUUACCCCCGAGCCUGGAUAUAUUAUGGGUUUUGGAAUCCAACCUCAAUUUGUGGUCUAAAUUCCCAAAUUUUGAAAUCCCUAGUUUCUACCCAAAAAUCUCCAAUUCCACGAUGAAAACCUUAGAUUCUAUGUUGAAAUCCUGAAAAAUGUAGUGAAAGAUUGAAAGAAACUAGUUUAGAAUCACUUACCUAUGAUUUGGGGAAGAAAAGUUCUUGGGAAAAUCUUCUCUUGUAUUUUAGGUUUUGAAAAUUUGAAGAAUGGGAGAAAAAUCCCGUUUAAGUCCAUUUUACACAGCUACAGACGUAGCAAAUGUGACAUUUACGAAGCCCGCAAAUGCGAGAAAAGUACCGCAAAUGCAAACUCCUCGCAUCUCUGCUGCCUUGCAAAUGCGAAAAAUUUGUUCGUAAUUGCGAACAUGAAACCAUCGCAAAUGCGAGAAUACCAGCCCCUGCCCACGCUCGCAAAUGCGAAGUGUCCUUCGCAAAAGCGAGGCUCACAUUUGCGAGCCAUACCUUGCAUUUGGAAAGUUUGUAGUCCAGCAUUAGAUGAAGCUUGCAGCAGCUAUGAUCCUAAGUCCAAAACCACUCCGAAGCCUAUAAAAAACUCACCCGAGCCCUCGGGGCUCCAAACCAAACAUGUACACAAGUCUUAAAGCACCAUAUGAACUUGCUCGUAUGAUCAAAUCGCCCAAAUAACACCUAGAACUACAAAUUUAGCACCAAACCAAAUAAAAUUUUCAAGAACACUUUGAAACUUCUAAUUUCUCAACCGGACAUCCGAAUCACGUCAAACCAAUUCUAUUUCUCACCAAAAUUUCAUAGAUAAGUUAUAAAUAUUAUAUUGGACUAGUAUCAGGCUCCGAAACCAAAAUACGGACCCAAUAUCAACAAGGUCAAACAUCAAUAAAUUCUUUAAAACCAUUAUAUUUUCAUACUUUUAAUUUUCAACAAAAAUUCAUAACUCGAGCUAGGGACCUCGAAAUUUGAUUCCGAGCAUACCCCCAGGUCCCAUUUUUUAAUAUGGACCAACCGGGACCGUUAAAACAUGGUUCCGGAUCCGUUUACUCCAAAUGUUGACCGAAGCCAACUAAAAUUAACUUUUAAGGCAAAAAAUCUUAUUUUUAUCAGUUUUUAGCAUAUAAGCCUUCCGGGUCAAUACCCGAAUUGCAAACGCAAAUCGAGGAAGGCUAGAAUGAGGUUCUAAAGGAUUCAAAACACAGAUUUUGGUUCAAAAUCAUAAGAUGGCCUAUCGGGUCAUCAUAUUCUCCACCUCUAAAACAACCGUUCGUCCUCGAACGGACAUAGAAAAGUACCUGAGCUGGUGAAAAGGUGGGGAUAUCUACUCUGCAUAUUGGGCUCAGACUCCUACGUAUAUUCCUCAAUAGCCUGACCUCUCCACUACACCUGAACUGAAGGAUAACUCUUUGAUCUCAACUGGCGAACCUGCCGGUCUAGAAUAGAUACUUGCUCCUCCUUGUAGGUCAAAUCCUUGUCCAGCUGGACUGUACUAAAGUCUAACACGUGGGAUGGAUCGCCUUGAUACUUCCCGAGCAUGCACACAUGGAACACCGAAUGAACUACUGAUAAUACAAGUGGCAAUGCAAGUCUAUAGGCCACCUCUCACACUCGCUCAACAAUCUCAAAAAGCCCGAUAUACCUAGGGCUCAACUUGCCCUUCUUUCCAAACCUCAUUAAACCCUUCAUGGGUGAUACCCAGAGCAAUACUCUCUCUCUGACCAUGACUGCAACUUCACGGACUCUACGGUCGGCAUAACUCUUCUGCCUGGACUGAGUUGUGCGAAGUCAAUCCGGAAUAAUCUUGACCUUAUCUAAGGCAUCCUGUACUAACUCUGUAUGCAACAACCGAGCCUCCCCCGGAUCUAAUCAUCCGACCGAUACUGCCUACCAUACAAUCCCUUAUAGGGAGCCAUCUGAAUACUCGACUCACAAUUAUUGUUGUAGGCAAACUCCGCUAGCAGUAAAAACUGAUCCCACGAACCUCCGAAGUCUAUAACACAAGCGCGGAGCAUAUCUUCUAAUAUUUGAAUAGUGCACUCGGACUGCCCGUCCUUUUGAGGAUGAGAUAUUGUGCUCAGCUAAAUCCGCGUGCCCAACUCACGCUGUACUACCCUACAGAAAUGCAAGGUGAACUACGUACCUCGAUCAGAAAUGAUAGACAUGAGCACACCGUGAAAACGAACGAUCUCACAGAUAUAAAUCUCUGUCAACCGCUCUGUAGAAUAGGUAACUGCCAUAGGAAUGAAAUGCGCUGACUUGGUCAGCCUGUCCACAAUGACUUAAACUACAUCGAGCUUCUUCUGAGUCUAUGUGAGUCCAACAAUGAAAUCCAUAGUGAUACGUUCCCACUUCCACUCAGGAAUCUCUAACUUCUGAAGCAAACCACUAGUCUCUGAUGCUCACAUUUUACCUGCUGACAAUUUAGACACCGAGACACAUAUGCAACUAUAUAUUUCUUCAUUCACCUCCACUAAUAAUACUGCCGCAAGUCCUGAUACAUCUUGGCGGUGCCCGGAUGAAUAGAAUAUCAGGUACUGUGGGCCUACUCAAGAAUCAACUCACAAAGUCCAUCCACAUUAGGCAUACAAACACGACUUUGCAUCCUCAAAACUCCAUCAUCUCCAACAGUAACUUGCUCAGCACCACUGUGCCGCAAUAUGUCCCUAAGGACAAGAAAAUGAAGGUCAUCAUACUGCCAAUCUCCGAUAUGCUCUAACAAAGAAGACUGAGCGACUGUACAAGCUAGAACAUG